UAUAUUAAAGUUUAAAAUAAAUGGUUAUAUAUUUUACAAGUAAUGUUAAAUAAAUUAAGUGUAAAAUAAAAUUUUUUCUUUCAGUUAACUCUCCGACUUUCGACUUUUGGUAUCCUAAUGGUCUCGUCCAUAUCUGAUUCAUCCUUCAAAACCAUAUCACAUCCUAAUGAUCCAGGAAGCAAUUCUGAUUCAUCCUUAAUUAGGAACCAUAUUACAUCCUAAUAAUCAAUGACGCAAUCCUGGACGUGAGGAAUUACUGAUUUAUGGAUUGGAUUUCACUUGACUUAUCAAUUCUAGUGGCUUUUGCUAUUAUGACCUUCCCAACCACGGAGAACAAGCUAGCUCUCGAUUCAAGUGGCAUUAGAGUGGAUUCGGUGUAAAAGAGAUAGAUCAAUUCAAGCAUGAGAUAAUGACAUUUUUUGGCUUCUCCAUAAUAUUGAAAAAGAAAAAAAUUUUAAAUACCAUCCUUGUAAUUUUGCACUUUCUCACUUUGGUGCUUUAUUAUUUAAAGUGUAUUAAUUUAGUACCCAAUGAUUUUAUCUCUCUUUUUAUUAUUCGUUUUAUUAAUUUUUUUAGUAAAGUUAAAACUAAAGUGUAUUAAAGUGAAUAUUGGAUAAACCUAAAUGGGAUAUAUAAAACUUUUUGUAUAUAAUUUAACGAAAUAUUAACGAAGGGGCUAACGAAAAGUGAAAAAUAAAAUCACAUGACACUAACUUGAUACAUUUUAGACCACAGGAUACUCAAGUGGAAAAAUGUGAAAUUAUAGGAAUAAUAUUUAAAGUUUACUCUUAAAAAAAUGCAAUGCCCUCUCUAUAAGAAGUUUAAGUUGCGCAAAUAUUAAAAAAAUCACUAACUAGAUUGUGAAUUUUGGUAAUUAGAAAUGUAACUAAUCCUUGGCAGCAUGAUUCAUAGAGAAAUAGGCAUAGAAGUAGGGGUGUCAAACGGGCCGGGCGGCUCGCAGGCUGCCCCGCUCCGCACUAGAGCGGACCGAGCCAGGCAUGACACGAGCACUGUAGCAUUCGUGUCGGACUGGGCCGGCCAGUUAAAUCGGGUUGUGCUGCGCCUUGGUCUCACGGUGCGGUGGCCCGGCACGACAUGGGCCUAGGCCGUGCUGAGCCUGAGGGGAUGCCACGGCCCGGCCUGGCACGGCACAGCCAGGCCCGUGUGGGAAGUGCCUCCCGAGCUGGACGCAGGCAAACAACCCAACUCCCAAAGCCCCCUUGGGAGAUCGGCCUAUUGAACUAAAAUGUCCUUCCCAACUGUCAAAAAUUUGACCGUUGGGAGGGUAUUAUGGUCCACAAAAUUUAAAAUUUUAAAAUAAUUUAAAAUUUUAAUAUUUUUAUAAAUGUAUUUCAAAAUUUUAAAUUAUUUUACUUAUAUAUUAUUUUUUUUAAAAAAAUAAUAUUUUUAUUUUUAUUUUUUAAAAAUUUUAAAUAUUUUUAAAUAAAAUUAAUAAAAUAAAAAAAGGCUGGCUCGAAGCCCGGCCCGGCCCGUACAAUCCGGGCCGAAGUGCCGUGCUCGGCUGGGGUCUAAAAACUUUGGCUCGGCACGGCACGGCACGGCACGACCCGACUUUGGGACCGGGCUGUGCCGGACUGGCCUUCGGCCCGUUUUGGGCCGGGUAAAUGUGGGCCGUGUCCCGGCAAGGCUUACAGUACAUCUCUAAGUGCACCAAAUGAAACAUCGUUUUUGAAUCUACAUACAGUAAAAACUGCAAUACAGACUUGCUCCCUUGUGUAAUCGAGUAAUCUUUAACUAGGAUUAAUUUGAUCAUACCAAUUUAUAGGAUAAUAUAAAAAUAAAAAAAUAUCUAUUAAAAUUUUGGAUUAGUUGCAUACAAUUCUGUGUAAAUAUAUCGAAUAGCAAAUAUAUCCUUACAAAGUUCAACUUUUAUUUUUAUCUCUACAAAAAUCUUGCCGUUUUCAAAUAUAUCCCUGCUGUUAGGACCCGUUAGAAAAAAAUAAUUAACUAUGAGAAAAAUACGUAACCAUGGUUAGUGAAUCAGUUAAAUUGAUAUUUUUAUUGUUGGGAAUCCAGUACUCGCCCCGGUACCGGAUCUUGUGAAUCCGCAACCCGCUCUGAUACCGACUGCUGUGGAUUCGGUACCGAUUGUUGGGAUUCCGCAACGGAAGCGUCGAAUCGGGUUUUUACCAUAAACCCGUCUCCUCAGCAGAUGCCGAUACAAUCAUAAAAGAGAAAAAUAUGCAGGUAAAAUAAGAUUCAUUAAAUAAGAGAAGAUUACACCUGACUCCUCUUCUGCACAGAGUAGCUACAACCCGAGCCCUCUCUCUGAAUCUCUCCUACCCUUCUCUCGUCUUCUAUACUCCCAGAAGACAUCUCUUUCAUCCUGUGCAUCCGUGCACAAGGUAUACCAAUGACCCACGGCUACGAAAGCCGCACACGUCCUCUUGCACCCAUGCACUAGGUGCAACCAAAAUCAUGACCAUAUUGGUCAUGCCAUAUGGGUGUGGCUAAUCCAUACCACCACCACCCUUCUCUCUUUUUUUCUCUCUCUGGUACGGCACCCAAGAGGCCUUUUCUCUCUUUCCCGUACUCACCCUCAAAAGCAAACCCAUAAAGAGCUAUUUAUAAGGCUCCACUAAAACGCACCUCAAUCCUAAUAUAUUUAGGAUUUCUACUCCAAUUAAUAUCUAAAUCUAUCUUAAUUAAUCUCUAAUAGAUUUAAAUAUUAAUCCUAAUCUAGUUAGGUUUAUCCUCUAAUUAAUAUUUAAAUCUUAAUUUAUCUGAAACAGAUUUAAAUAUUAAUUCUAAUCCAAAUAGGAUUCAAUUACAAAUCUAACCAAAUCCUAACAUUUAUCUCUUAUAUUAUUAGGUAAAAUACUUUUUUGAGAGGAUAUUUCUGAAUAAUUCUAACGAUUAGGACUUUUAAUUUAGAGGGAUAUAUUUUUAAGGACAAAAAUGUCAUUUUAUUUAAUUACUGUGAAAAAAUAAAUAGUAUUUUAACGGUAAGAAAUCAGAGAGGCAAAUACGAAUAUCACAUUGCAGGAAGGAAAAUAAAAAAUUAAAUUUUAUAAAAAUAUAUUUGUUAUUCAAUAUAUUUAUAAAAAACUAUAUGCAAUUAAUUCUAAUUUUUUAAAAAAGCUUCUAUAUAUAAAUUAUGUAUUUAUUAAUUUAUUGCUGUGUUUGGUACAAAAUUGCUUUCAUCGGCUAGGGCCGCUAUGCUGUCACCAGAGCUUUUUGUUACAUUAUUGAGUGACAAAGAAACUAUUUUGUUUUCAUUCCAAAAUGGUAUUUUUAUUAUUGAUAAUAAAACAUGCAGUGAUAAUUAUUUUGAUCAUUCUAGUAACGUAUUUUGUAAUAAUUACACCAUAUAUACGAACUUAUACUAAUGAUAUUCUCGGUGUAGUUAUUGCACGUACCUGAUGGAUCGUAUGUUGCUCUCUUAAAUUUAAAUUAUAAAGAUUUGAAAAUUGGAAUUUGAAACUUUACAUAUAAAUAAAGUUUUUUAUAAGUAAGUUGGGCUUUAUAUUUAGAUUGGACUAAAAUUUAAAUAAUAAGAAUUUAUAUUUUAUGUAUUUAAUUACUUAUAUAUAUAAAUAUAAAAUUAUAUAAAUUAUAUAAAUAUAAAAUAAAUGUAUCUAGUUGUUAUCGAGCCGAACAUGAACGAGCUGAUACCAGUUCGUGCUCGACUCGUUUAUUAAAUGAGCUGAAAAUUUCAGAUCGUAUUCGGCUCAUGUUACUAAACAAAUAAUUCAAUCUCGUGUUCAUUUAGAAUCGAGCACGAAAUGGCUCGCGAACGAGCUGAAUUGCUACCCCGACUUAAAAAAAAAUGAUUUAUUAAACUAUGUGAUAAAAUUUUAAAAAUAUAAUCGUCAAAAUUAAAAUUUCAUAUAUGCCCGCUUGCAAAAGAUUUAAAAGUUUUUAGGAGUUCUCUCUACUUUUUUUUUCCAAUUUUUUUUUAUUCUAUUUCGUGUAGUAUAAUUGAUGUAGAUACAUCAACAUACGCAAAGCAUGCAACAUAAGUUUUAUCUUUUACAUAGAAAGUAUCUGCGCUGAUUAUUUUACAUAAUUUUCAUUUUUAGUAGACAAAAAUGCGUGUACCCAUUUUAGAUGUUAUGAUCAUGACAAAGAUUAGAGUUCCCCUUCUUUUAGACCAUUUUCUUAAGUAUUGCUCCGAAUUUAAUUAUGAACUCCUCAGAUUUUUUUUUUCUUCUUUUUUGAGAGAUAGGUAGCACGUUAUCCACUUCGUUUAUUUCAUUUAGAAAUAAAUUUAGUUAGAAGAAUGAAUCAACUAUGAUUCAAACUUGAAUCUCGAAUACCAACCAUCAAAUUUUUUGCCACUUGCUCUAUAGAUGGUACGGUAACUCCUGACAACUUGUUGAAACAAACAGUUUGCCAUUUGUUUCUACAUAAAUUACGGAGGAAGCACUAAACACAAACUGCAUAGCUUUACAAUGUGGUUUCCUAACUAUUCUCUUUGAAUAGAUUUAUUUAAAAAAAAAAAAACAAAACUAUCUCUACACUCUAGAUUUAGUGCGCUCUCUUUUACCUACGAUCUAACGAUUUAAAAAUCUCUUUCAAGAUUUUUAUAUUAAUAAAACAAUUGUUGAAAUUAAUGUGAAAUUAUUAAAAUUUGAAUGAGUAGAAUGUAAAAUUUAAACUCUAAUUUUGGAUGUACAAGUAUUUACUAUAAACCAAAAAAAAAAAAAAGAAAAAGAAAAGAAAAGAAAAGUGACCGAUGUACUAACUACUAACUCUUCAAGUACAAAAGUGCAAUUCUUACUUUCUUCUUCUUUGCAAAUAGCCCCAUAUAUAGUUUCUCCUCCUCGCGUCUCAUUUGAGGACGCACGGAGCCAUGAACAGGGCGAAUGCGAAGCUCGGUUGUGCCCUCGCCAUGGUUUUGGGCUCUGCGCUCCUCGUCGCCUUCUCCCACUCCGACGCUUCCGAAGCCGAGAUCGUGAGAUCCGUAGCUGGGAACAAGUUGAAGAGAGGUGCAUGCGCCAUUACCUAUUUACCUUCGUUUAAUUUGUGUUUUUUUUUUUCCUUCUUUUUUUUUUUUUUUUUUUUUUUAGAAAGGGCGAUUCGAUUUUUCUUCUUAAUGUGGUUUAGUUUAUUUUAUGUUGUUGCAUUUUUAUUCUUCAAUGUGAAAAUUUUAAAUGUNUUUUUUUUAGAAAGGGCGAUUCGAUUUUUCUUCUUAAUGUGGUUUAGUUUAUUUUAUGUUGUUGCAUUUUUAUUCUUCAAUGUGAAAAUUUUAAAUGUCAUACUCUAUGCAAAUUAACGAAGUUACAACUUCACUUACCUUACAUUCAUUAUAAAUCUCUAUAACCUAUAUAUAAUAUUGUUGAACCUACAUUAAAAAAGAAUUAAUUUGCUAUACUAUUUUAUAGUAAAUUUUUUUAGAUAAAGAUAGAAAUAAACAUUAUAAAAUAAUUAAGUGUAUUUUUUAAAACUAUAAAAUGAUAGAGUAAAAAUAAGGUGAACUAUUUGCAGGCAAAUUAAUCUUUAAAAGAAGCUUAGACCUGAUUUGGCAUCAUUACCGUUAUAUAUUUUAAAACAAUAAUUAUAUAAAAUUUGAUACACCGGUAAAAACAUUACAGGUUAAUUAUUCCGGCCAAAUAAUAAGUAAUAGCUUUGUAAAAGGGGUAUUAGGCAAUUUUUUUUUUUUUUUUUUUGAGAGAUAAGUAGUAUGCUACCGUUUCGUUUAUUUUGUUUAGAAAUAAAUUUAGCUGGAAAUGUGAAUCAACUAGGAUUCGAAUUUGGGUCUCAGAUAUUAACCACCAAACUCUUUGCCACUUGCUUUAGAGACGACCGAUAGGCAAAUUUUUAUUUAUCUCUCUUUUAACAUGUUCUGCAAUCGUAUGAAACGUGAUGCAGAGCAAUGCGAUCUCUUCGCCGGGGAAUGGCUCCCGAACCCUUUCGGGCCGGCUUACACGAAUGCGAGUUGCAAAUUGAUCGAAUUUACUCGAGAUUGUUUGACAAACGGGCGACCCGAUACAGGUUACCUCUACUGGAGGUGGAAACCAUUUGGUUGUGAAUUACCCAAAUUUGAUGCAGGGAAAUUCUUGGAUUUAAUGCGAAAUAAAGCUUGGGCGUUUAUAGGUGAUUCGCUUCUUCAGAAUCAAAGAGGGUCACUGCUUUGCCUUCUCUCUAAGGUGCUGCAUUAAUUUCUCGUAUAUCCUAUCUUAAAUCUUUAAACUUUAUACUAUAUUUACAUCCUCGCUCGCAUUAUUUAAGAAAAAAAUCAGAUGAUACUAACUAAACUUAUAUAUGCAUCUUUUUUUUUCCCAUCUUUUUGGACGCUAAUGCACAUCAUCAUGCACAAUUUAUAGUGCUAGUUUGUAAUAGGGGAGAGUAUGCAGAGUCUUAUAUGAGAUUGACGUACAUAUUAGUAUUAGUAUUAAUAAUUAAACUUAAAUAUUUAAAAACCGAUUGCUUAGGCCGAAUAAAUUGUUAUUUACUCUAGUAUGGUAGGUUGAUACGUACGCAUUGUUAAUUUUAAUCUGAGUCUCUACUUCCACUUUAAUUUUAAAACUUUUUUCUCAAAUUCUGUGUAGUUUCGUACCUUUUUUUUUCUUCUGCUUAACUAAUAAUUAGUCCAAACCUUGAAACCUUUUACUGUGACCCAACGCUUCACAAGAGUUACUUAGGGCCCGUUUGGAUACCUCUAAAAAUGUAGCAUAGUUAAACUAUACUACGCUAGUAGGAAAAUAAUCCUAUAAAGCGUUUGGAAGAAAAAAAAAAUGACGUAAUUUUUAGAGUAUAGUUAUACUAUACUCCAAAAAAUGGAGUAAACUUACAAUCCACUUUAACCAAAGGAAAAAAAUUUCACCAUUUUGGGCUCCCAAAGAUGUAUCAAUUUUUAAAUUUUAAAUUUCAACAUAAAAUUUUAGAUUUCAAAUUUUAAAAUUUUAAAAUUCAAAUUUAAUUUUGAUUUUAAAUUUUAAAUUUUAAAUUUCAAAUUUCAAAUUUCAAAAACUUCAAAUUUUAAAUUUUAAAUUUCAAAUUUCAAAAACUUCAAAUUUCAAAUUUCAAUUUUUAAUUUUAAAAUUUCAAAUUUCAAAUUUUAAAUUUCAAAAAGUUCAAAUUUUAAAUUUUAAUUUUCAAAUUUCAAAUUUCAACUUUCAACUUUCAAAUUUCAAAUUUCAAAUUUCAAAUUUCAAAAAGUUCAAAAUUCAAAAUUCAAAUUUCAAAAUUCAAAUUUCAAAAUUCAAAUUUCAACUUUCAAAUUUCAAAUUUCAAAAAGUUCAAAUUUCAAAUUUCAAAUUUCAAAUUUUAAUUUUAUUUUUAAUUUUUAAUUUUCAAUCUUCAAAAUUUAAAUUUAAACUUAAAUUUAAAAUUUUAAAUUUAUAAAUAUGUAAAUUUAUAAAUUAUUAAAUUUGAAAUUUAAAAUUUUAAUUAUAGAUUUUUUAAAUUUCAAAAUUUAAAGUUUAAAUGGUAUACUUUAAGUUUUAAAUUUUAAAGUUUCAAAUUUCAAAUUUGAAAUUUCAAAUUCCAAAUUUCAAAUUUCAAAUUUAAAACAUAAAAUCUAAUUUACUUUUUAAAUUUUAAAUUUUAAAUUUUAAUUUUAUAUUUUGAAUUUUUAUGUUUAAUUUUUAAAAUUUUAUUUUUAAAUUUUGAAUUUUGAAUUUUGAAUUUUGAGUUUUGAAUUUUGAAUUAUAAAAUUUUAGAAAUUUAAUUGUUAUAAAUACUGUGGAAUUGUAUGAUAUGUAUCCAAACAGCUUAAAAAUGAGGCUGUGGAAUUUUUUUGUAGUUACAGGAUUCCGUAUUUCAUUUAGACCAAAACCAUAGAAUAAAAAUUUCAUGGAGUUUUUUAACUAUGCAUCCAAACAGGGCCUUAGCCUUUUCUACUAGCUAAUAAUAGACUUUUUUAAAAUACUAGUGGCCCAAUUUGUCUAUUAAAAUUAUAUGAAAAUAUUGAAUAGAAAAGCCUAAUGAACUCCUCGGAGAGUGAGCAAAAUUGCAGGCGAAAAUUUAUUUUGUCAGAACAUGCACGUUCCCUAGGAAUAUAAAAAUUCCAGAUCCAUCAAAUUGUUUUUCCCUAUGCUUUUUGGAACUCUACCCCAUUACCUAAAAUCUUAAUUAGCAUAUAGAUAGGGGCGACCGUGGGCCGGGCCGUGUAAGUCAGGAUCGAGCCGUUGCCGGGCCCAGCACGGCCCAGCAUGCCCGGGCCAGGCAAGGUCAUGCCAUGGGCCGGCUGGGCGCGGCCGAGCACGGCCCUAAAUCCAUCUUCUCUUAUAUGAAAUCUAUGUCUCUUUAUGCGUGCUUAGGUCAUCUUUUUUGUUUGGGCAGGUAACAUGAUUUAUCUGAUCUUCAUUCUGCACAUGAUCAGCGAGCGUUUACUAAUUCUCUUGCAUACAUUGAUCUCCAGGUGGAAGAAGCUGUAGAAAUUUAUCGCGAAGCGUUUGCAUUUACAAUCUGGUACUUUCCUUCUUACAACUUCACCGUCACAGAUAUAUGCGCUCCUUUUCUGCUCAAGGCGGAAAACGAAGCAACGGAUCACACCAUGCUGCACCUCGACGCGCUCGACGCGAAAUGGACUAACAAUUACCAUAAAUACGACUACAUUGUGAUUUCCGGCGGAAUGUGGUUCUGGAGAACAGCCACAUUCCUGGAGAACAAUGCGAUUGUGGGGUGCCACAACUGCGCUGCUGCAGGACAGAACGCGACCGAAUACGGGGGCGACUUCUCGUACCGAAAAGCCCUCCGGUUGGCCUUCAGCUUCAUGCUCAGCUCCGACCACAAGCCGCUCGUUCUCUUCCGGACGUGGAACACGGAACACUAUGAGUUCGGCGGCGACGGCAUGCUGGUCUGCAACCGCACCGUGCCGUACAGAGCCGGAGAGUACGACGGGCGCCCGACGGAUCAUCUAAUGCGGGGUGUGGAGGUCGAGGAGUUCCGCAGGGCCGCCGCGAGGAGCGGGGCCCGGAUUCGGCUCGUCGACACGUUCCGGCUCUCGGUUUUGAGGCCGGACGCGCAUAUGGGACUGUACUGGUUGGUCGACCGCGACCCGGGCGACAAGACUAUGAAUGAUUGCACGCAUUGGUGCUUGCCUGGGGCCAUAGAUACUUGGAAUGAUAUAGCUAUGGAGAUUUUGAUGCGCGAAGGAGAGUUCAGGUAUUCGUCAUGAAUUGUCGAUCUCGUCGUUUGUGUUUUAGAAAAAUGUUUUACCUAAUUUUAUGCGCGCGCCCAAAUGCCGUGAGUUUAACAGUGAUUGCUCUGUUUUUCAAUAAAUAUUAGCUGUGCUGUUGUUUCGAUUUAUAACUGAUACGUUUGAUGAAAAAAAUCUCUCUCCAGGCUCUCUCUCAUGUUUUCUUCUUAGCUAGAAUUUUUUUUAGAAUGAAGCUCCAAAUCAAAUAACAAGGAUUACAAGGAUUUAAAAUCGUAAAAUUUCAAUUCUAUUUGGAAAUGAUUUUCACCGUCCAUCCGAAUUUUCGUUUUAUUUUUAGCGGUCGAUCUCCUAUUAAAGCCCUCUUUAAAAAAUUCCAAACCAUCCUUAAUCUUAGAGUAUAAAAUCAAAUCAAACUUGGGCCGAAUCCAGUUUAACUUAUUCGCCGUGUCUUAUAGUACGAGUACUAAAACAGGAGUUUUGAAACGGGCAAAUAUUGUAUGGGCAUCGUCAUCAGUUUGGGGACGAUGCCGAUGGGCGCCGCGUGGCCUGUCACCCUCCAUUGCUCUCCAUCAUCUUCUCUCUCUCUCUCUCUCUCUCUCUAAAAAAUUCAGCUGGCAAAGUUUUUUUUCUUUUUAUCCCAUCCUACUUCACUACUCCAACCAAACAAAACACUAUUUUAUCCAUUAUGCUUCUUAUUCCACUUACUCCAACCAAAUAUUAUUUUAUUUAUAUCUGGACUAAACCCAAUUCUCAACUAAAUACAAAAUUAUUCUAACCCCAUAUUAAUCCUGAAUUUAACUCUAUUCCUAAAAUAACAGAUUUUUAUUUAAUUCCGAACCAAACGAUGGGUUAGAGUAUAAAAUCAAAUCAAGCUUGGCCCGAAUCUAGUUUAACUUAUUUGUCAUGUUAGUACGAGUACUAAAACAGGAGUUUUGAAAUGGGCAAAUAUUGUAUGGGCAUCGUCAUCAGUUUGGGGACGAUGCCGAUGGGCGCCGCGUGGCCCGUCACCCUCCAUACCUCUCCAUCGCCUUUUUUUUUUUUUUUUUUUUUUUUUUUUUUCUCUCUCUCUCUCUCUUUAAAAAAAAUCAGCCGGCAAAAUUUUUUUCCUUUUUUUUCCCGUUUUCGGCCAUGUGAUGAGCACGCCUGGGCCACGUGGUGCCCAUCGGUAUCGUCCCCAAACAGAUAGUUUAGAGACGAAGCCAAUACAAAUUUGGCCCUUCCGAACUUCAUAAGCUCUGGCAUAUGACAUGUACUGGUGGUACUCACAAAAAAGUAUCAGUACUCCUCCAGCUGACAUCGUCUCCAAACUGAUAGUUUAAAGACGAUGCCCAUAUAACUUUUGUCCUUACAAAACUUUAUAAUUAAGCUCCGGCAUAUGACAUGUACCGGUACUCACAAAAAGUACCAGUACUCCUCCAGCAGCUCAACAAUAAUAAUUUCUGAGGAACUUCAGUCUGAAUGCCGAAACUCAUUGAAGUUUCGAAAUUUGGCAUACACUAACUUUAAAGUCCCGACGUUUUCACGGUGAUAUCGAUCUGCAACAUGGUUUCUCAUAAUCCAACAUUAAUUAGAUACACGUCUUGAAUCCUAGAAAAAUAAUAAUAAAAGUACAAAAAAAAAAGGAGAAUUUUAUGCUAAAUAAUUUGGUCCAAAUACUAUUAAACGGAUAAGUAGGAAACCAAGUGAAAAGCCAUACUUUGAAAUGGUCAGACAUUCUAUCUCUUCUUCGUCUUUUCUCUCUCUAUCUCUUUUCUACUUUAUGGUUCAUGUCCUUUUUGAUGGAGAUGCUGACUCGGUCUUGUAAUAAUUUUUUUUAAAAAAAGAAGCACACAAUAUUCAACUUGAUUGGAGCCCUUAAAAGGAGCAUAGUCCUUGAUGAAAAACGCAUGCAAUGCAUGUACAACCUUAAACACCACCAAGUCAAGUGCCAAUUUAUUUAUUAUUUAUUUAGUUAAAUACCAUCCCCCACUUUUUCAAGCUCCGAGGCCUACUUAUUAUUGUUUGAAAAUGGUGAACAAAAGGAGACAAGAAAAUAAUAAAAUAUAUAAUUCAAAAAAGAACAACUUCAAUCCAGUGUCUUAGAAUGUUUAAUUUUUAGAUAAAUAUUUUAUUUACGAUGUCAAAUUUUAGUUGUUGGUGUAUCCACCCAACUAAGUCGAUAGAAAACGAACCCGAAUUAGUUUUAAAAAUCUUUUUAAAAAGAAAAGAUUUAUAGCUAGCACAGGAGGUAAACAAACAAAAAGACUUAUGAUUUAUAUCCAAGAUUAGUUUAUUCAUAUUUUUAAUUAAAAUUAUUUUUUUUAAAAAAAUAAACAAAAUAAACAAUAUGCUAUAUUUUUGCAAAAACAAAGGGCACUUAGGUAAGUGUGUUUUAAUAUAUAAAUUAUAAUAAUUAUAAUAAUAUGACAAUAAACAUAAAAAAGUGUACGUUUGCCCUUUCCACACGUUUGUAGAAAGUAAUGUGUACCCCUUAAAAGCCUCUCCAACAUGUUUCCGAGAAGCGAGACGGAAGGCAGCAAGGGAACUGUGUGUAAAAUACCAUGGGGGUAAGCCUCAAGUUGUUCUUGGGUAGGGAUGCAAACGGAUCCGGGUUGGUGGAGCUCCUAUCCCGAUUUGCCCCGACGGGGGCAGUAAAUGGUAAAAAAUAAACGCAUUCGGGGCAAAAAUUGGGGUAAAUUUUAUGAUUUGAGACAGAUUCAGGGCAGGAAAAGGGAGAAAUUUUGACAUACCUCAAAUCCGCCCCGAAUCAGUCCCGAAAAUUAUUUAUAUUUUAAAAAAUAUUUUUAAAAAAUUAUGUAUUUACAAAAAAGAUCAAAAUACAAGUAAGUUAGUACUCUCAUUUCUAAUGUAUUUGAAAAUUUUGAAUUUUGUUUUGAAUUGUGAUUGAUAUUUUUGAUUUUUAUAAUUGAUAUGGUUAAAUUAUAUAUAUAAUAUUAUUAAAAAUUAUUAAUUUAUAUUUUAAAAAAUAUUAAUAAUAUUAUAAUUUUAUAAAAAAUAUUAGUUGGCGGGGCGAAUUCGCGGCGCCGGCGGGACGUCAUGAAUUCUGUGCGGCAGACGGGGCGGGAUUUUUGCUAGUCGGGGCGGGAGGUGGGGCAGGGCUCCCGCCCCCAGAUCUGCCCAGUUUGCAUUCCUAUUCUUGGGUGAUUUAGCUAUAUUUACUUUACUAUAAUCUAGUUUCAAAAAUUACAUUAAUUUUUUUGUAGUAUUAUUUUAUUUUACAGCAGAAUCUAUCGUUAAGCAGAAUAAUAAAAUUAUAUUUUUGCAGACCACUGGUGAUACCGUGAUAGAGCAUAAUGCUUUAUUAUUAUUAUUAAAAAUAUAUAACAUUUAUCUGAACUAUCAACUAUUUUGAUUCGGCUGCACGACUUUUGAAAAUUUUGAUGUUACUAUUCAAUCUUUCAAUUUGUUUGAUUUGAGACAGUCAACGACAUCGUGAUUUCAAAUUUUAAGCUAAUUGCUUAUUUUAACAAAUUUAUAAUAAAAAAUUUUUAUAAAAUAUACUAAUUAAACCUGUAAAGAUAAAUAAAGCAUUUAAAUUUUAAAGUUAAAGUACUGCUGAUUGACUUAAAUCAAACAAAUUAAAAUAUUAGAUAGUAAAAUCAAAAUUUUAAAAGGUCGGAUAGCCAAUUCAUAAUGAUUUAUAGUUUAAAUAAAUUUUGCACAUUUUUCACCUUUUUUAUUCUAUAAUAUAUAGCUUACUAUUUUGCAAUUUGUAAAAGCUAUUAUUUAACUACGCCUAUUUAGCCAGUAGAACUUCACGGUUAAACGAAAAUAAAAUUAUAUGGUAACAAUGUAUAACAUUUUUAAACUAUACAGUAAUAAAGUAAAAAAUGUACUAUAUCUUAAGAAAGACAAAUUAAAAUUUACUCUGAAAUAAUAUGUUUAAUGUUAGAUAAUAAUCCACAUGUUGUUUGGUUCCGAAUAAUAACUAGAAUACCAAUAAUCCAAUACAUCCAACGAAAUUCGUGACCGAAAAAAAUUUAAAUUUUAUUAUAUUCGGCAGAAUAGCUGAUCAAAAUAAAUGUAAAUUUUAAUUAUAUUUGGUCAUUGGCGAUUGAUGUGAGGUGUUUUAUUUGGCAGGUAGUAUUGGAAGUGAAAUGAAACAGCUAAGUUCCUUGUAUCUACUGUUCCAAAAAGUUGCUCUAUUAAUUGUCCUUUUCUGAGAAUAAAAUGAUUAAAAAGUAAUACUGAAUCAUCAACUGAACUUAAUAAGGAUAGUUAAUUGACUAAAAAUUUGAUAGUUAGUAUUUGAAAUUUUAAGUUUAAAUUUUAGUUUUUUUUUUACCCUACUAAUUGAAUUUAUUUUUUUUUCAAAAAAGAAAGAAACGGAUAGCUUGCUAUCUGUCUCUUAAAAAUAGAAAAAUAUAUUGAAUACGUGGCUUAACAAUAACAGCAGCAGCAGCAGCAGCAGCAGUGACAACAACAGCACUAGUAAGAACCAUUUAAACUUUGAUCACUUAAGCUAUGUUAAAAUUUUAUAUGUGAGAAUAGUUUUCUAAGGAUCAAUAACAAAUUAGAGAAAGGGAAAGCACUAACAUAGGCAAAGACAAUUAAAAUUUUAUAUUAUUUUUAUUGGUCCUAGGUGACAUGUCCUAUUCUUGAGCUAAUGUAUAGUUUGAUAAUUUUGGCCCACUAGUGAUUUUUAUAAAUACAUCAGAGGCGUAUAAGAAGGUUUUAUUCUUUGCACUUAAAUUUUAGGAAAAACGUCCAAUACUCUCCUUGUGGUUUCACUUUUUCUCACUUUAGUAUAUAUCCUAUGAUUUAAAGUGUAUCAAGUUAUUACCUGUGAUUUUUUACUUUUUCACUUUAGUAUCUUGUGAUUUAAAGUUUAUCAAGUUAGUAUUCUGUGGUUUCGCACUUUAUCACUUUAGUACCCUGUGGUUUAAAAACCAUAUGGUACUAACUUGAUACAAAAAUAAAAUCACAGGGUACUAACUUGAAACAAAAAUAAAACCAUAGAGUACUAACUUGAUACACUUUAAACCACAGAGUACUAAAAUGAUAAAGUGAGAAACUAUAGGGUACUAACUUGAUACAUUUUAAACCAUAGGGUAUUAAAAUAAAAAAGUGCGAAACCACAUAGGGUUUUUUUAAAGUUUUCCCAAAAUUUAAAUUCAUGUUUUUCACUCGCCUCAAAUUGCUUAGCACUUACAGCUUGGAAGUGGUAAUCUGCCAAAAUCAUAAAUCAUAAUAGGAACUCCAAAUAGAUCUAAUACAAACAUACUUGUAAUGAAAAAAAAAAAGAAAAAAGAAAAGGUUAUGAACCCGCCGCUUCCUCUGUUUCAGGAUUGCUUUGAUACCAAUAUAUUAUGACAAAAACGGAAAGAAUCUAGUUCGUCGAGUAUAAAAAUAGUAAAAUUGAAUGGGAGAAGAAAAAUAAAAUAUAUAAAUAUUUAUAUAAUUUGACCACUGACCUACGUCCACAGAUGAAGAUGGAACAGAGACUUUUAUUAUAAUCAAAAUGGUGUAUAAAAUAUGACUUUUUUACAAAUUCCUAAUCUCAAAAUAUACUCCUAUUCUAUUUCAUCUGCCGGCUACCGCACUAAUACAGAAUAAAAAAUAUAUUUAUAAUUGCGGCUAAAUCCUAAUAUAACUAGAAAUACAAAUCCAACGAAAAUUAGCAAUAAUUUUAAUAAGAUUAAAAAUAAUCUGAACUUAACUUAAUAUGAUAAUCAAAAUAAAAUAGGAUUAGAAAAUCUUUCAAUUCUACAAUUUAAAAUAUAUCUAAUAAAAAAUAAAAACAAAAAUAUGAUUAGUUCUUUCUUAAUUGGCAACUCAGAACGGUCCAUUUACACACCCAAAAAUAUAACCAUAAAUUUUACAUACGUUCAUUCAAUUAAGGAUCAUUUGUUUUAAUUAUACGAGUCUUUUUGAAUUAUUUUCUAUAUUAAAAUUUUUAAAAAUUUUCAAAUUCGUGAUUGGAUAGAUGCAAAUUAAGUUUACAAUCUACUUUUUUGAAUAUAAAAGUAGAGAUUCUCUUUAACAAAACGAGUUUCCAUUGAGCCUAGUAGGGCCACGUACGGUCUAAAUGAGACCAAACUUGUGUCCCUCUUUGUCCUCAUUAAUUAAUUAAUUAAAAGAUAAAUUAGUAAACCUUGUCCCAUCGUUUUCUUCUAAACGCGCUUCCACAUUUCAUUUUCAGCCACAAUUUUAAACAUUCUCCAUCUCCUCCCAUUUACAUUUUCUACACUAAUUUAAUUGUCUUUUUUUUUUUUUNUAGUAAACCUUGUCCCAUCGUUUUCUUCUAAACGCGCUUCCACAUUUCAUUUUCAGCCACAAUUUUAAACAUUCUCCAUCUCCUCCCAUUUACAUAUAAUACACUAAUUUAAUUGUUGUGCUUCACGUGUGAUGCUCUUUCUCGUGCACAACCCAUUUCUCUCUCUUUCUCUCUCUCUCUCAAAAACUCUUUUUUAUCGCAGUAAAUUCCACAUAAUAAUAAAAUAAGAACUUAGAAAACUUAUUUUAAUCGUAAAAUAUUUUGAUUUGAUUAUUUGUUUUUUUAAAAAAUUUUAAGUUUGCUAUCCACCUUUCAAUUUAUCUAAUUUAAGUCAAUCAAUGAUAUUUGGACUUUAAAUUUAAGCUAAUUAUUUAUUUUAAUAAUUUUACAGUUGUGAGAAUUGCAUAAAAUAUACUAACUAAAACUGUGAGGAAAAACGAUGCAUUCAAAUUUCAAAAUUAAGGUGCUGUUGACCGACUCAAAUCAAAUAAAUUGAAAGAUUAGAUACCAAAAUUCAAAAUAUUAAACUAUUAGAUAGACAAAUCAAAAUUAUCUAUAAUUCAGGUAAUUAAGUUAUGUAUAUUUUUCUAAAAAAAAUAAUAAAAUCUAUCUUUCCUUUAAAUUUUGCAUGCACACUUCAUCACCCUAGAAUAAUAACAUGAGUUCAGAAACCUAACCCUCAAAAUUGCACUUAUACAUAUCAAUCUCAUGGUCGGCGCUCGAAUUCCCAACCAACAAGUUAUUAAUAAUUUGAAUAUUGAUAACAUCCAAUUAUUUAUUUCCAUUUUUAAGAUGUUAUUUUAAUGUGAAGUUAUUAUUAUGUUAUUAAAUUUUUUACUAUUUCAUAGAAUAAAUAUAACUAACUUAAAAUGCAAUCCUAUGUUAUGUAAGUGUUAAAAAGAAAUUUUUUUAAAAAAACUUUUUCUUCCGUAGGCGCGUUAACUUGUUCUCUCUCUCUCUCUCUCUCUCUCUCUCUCUCUAUACCGCGUAAGGAGAGUUGAAGAGUCUUCUUGGUCAGUUUCGGAGCAUCUUCCACUCUGACCACAAACUUUAACACGUACCACUAAUUCGUGUCCAAUGGCAUGUAUACAACAAAUAUUUUUUUUAAAAAGCGAUAAUUAAUCCGAGAGUUAGAAUUGGUCAAACAAUCGUACAAAAAUUUAUCUCUUGUGCCCGGUUCAUCCGUACAUUUCAUAAACCAUGCCAUUAAUUAAUAGACACGUUAAAACAUGUAUUUCGACAUUCAAAUGAACUACGCUCUUGUCUUUUUCUUAAGAAAAAAAUUAGAUCAUGAAUUUUGGACACAUGUUUCUUGUAUAGCGAACAAUAUUCAUGCAGAUCAUGUUUGUUAAAUUAAACUUUAAUCUAUAAAGCUAUGAAAUAUUAAGAUUUCGUUUGGAAUUGUAGAAUCAACGUGCAUGAUUUCAUACUUCGAAGGAUUCGAGUAAAUUCAAAAAUAUUUCGAAUGUUUUAUUCUUUCAAUGUCAUAAGAUUUAAAUUGUCAUCGAAGAAUUAAGCACUAUUUAUAUUUUUUGAUGACUAUUUUCGUACUAGAGAUUUUAUUUUUGUUUUUGUUUUGUUUUUUUUUGGCGCGCUCUUUGUAUAAAAUUAGAGAGUGUGUGUAUAAUUAGAAAAUGUAAAUUUCAAACUAAGCUUCAUGUGUGGCACAAGAGACGUACGGAUGCGCCCAGCGUAGAAAAUAAUUGCUUAAAUGAUAAGCUCUCUCGCGAUUCGUUAUCAUUGUGUGAAGAAGCGAAAAAUGUAGAGUCAUUUUCCUUACUCCUUAGUCAAUCUCCUCAGUUUGAUUCUACACAAAAGAUUAAUUGUUCGGAAAAGCGCUUCUCUCCACCUCACCCCUAUAAAAAAGCCCCUCCAUUUGCUUACUCCCCACCCAACACAAACUUAAUUCCUAGUAGUAACAUAGCUUUCCCAAAGAAGAGCACAAAAGAGCGCUUCUUCAGUAGAUGUGCUUCUCCAAUUGAUACCAACUAAGUAUUAAGCACGCUAAUUGCUGUAAUUAAUGGAGAACACCUUUUCCCCUCUAAUCGCGGAGCUAACGCAAAUUAAGGAGCUUAUGAUGCAGCUAGAGGCGCAACUGGAUCAGCCGUUUCCGAUUGAGUUGAGCAAGUCCAUGGUGUCGAAAGCGCUUCUCGCCACCGAGAAGUCGAUCUGCAUGGCGAAUAAGUCGAGCUUCUGCUGCCCCAACUGCGGGCCGGAGGGGGUGUCGCCGCCGCACUCCGCUAGCGGCAGCCCCCGGAGUGAGGGCUCCGACCAUGCGUCUAAGUUUCACGAACGAAGGGAAUUCCUGAAGAAAAGGUAACGAAUCAAUCCUUCUAAAUUAAUAAGAAGAAAAGCCGAAAAUAUUAGUGUAUUCUUACAUCGAGAACCGUAAAUUUAUCGGUCUUUUUUAUCGAGUUUGCAAAAGUUAUUAUUUCAUUAGGACCCUUUUGAGAAGCUUUUUAAUUUGUUUGAAAAGUUUUUCUUAAUAGCAAAGUAAAGUUUUGAGUUUCUACCUAUGAGUUUAUUUAUUUAUUUAUUUAUUUUUUCCCUCAAACAUUAUAGGAAGGCACUGCCAACAUGGAGGAGUCAAGUAAAGGUGGGCGCAGAGAGUGGAUUUGAAGCUCCUUUGGAUGAUGGAUAUAGCUGGAGGAAAUAUGGCCAAAAAGAUAUUCUAGGAGCCAAAUAUCCAAGGUUAGUUAUAGUUUACAUAUAUAUAUAUAUAUAUAUCCUACACUACACUCAUAUAAAAAUAAUAAUAAUAAUAAUACACCUCACAAAACAAAGUUAAAGGGUUUUUUUGUAUUUAUGUUGUGUCAGAAGUGGUACUAGGGUACCCCACACAAGGCUACAGGGUACCAUAAACCCUGGGACAACAAAAUUUAAAGGGCCUUGUUGCAUUUAUCUUGUGUCAGAAAUAGUAUAUGGGUACCCCCACCAGAUACCAUGAAGUUUAUUUUGAUAAGUCAAAAUUUAAGUCAGAUAUUUUAAGUCUGAUUCAUAGACUAUAGUUAAAAAUAUAUUUACUUUAAAUAGUUUAUUUUGAUAUUAUUAAUGUAAAUUUAUUGAAUUGUAAAGAUAAUAUUAUUUAUAUAAUAUUUUCUAGUUAAAACUGAAAAAGCGCAAAUAAUUUUUUUUUUUAUAAAUUGCAGGGGCUACUACCGAUGCACCCACAAAAACACGCAGGGUUGCGCCGCCUCAAAACAGGUCCAACGAACGGACGAGGACCCAACGGUCUACGACGUCACCUACCACGGGGUCCACACGUGCCAACAGAGGCCCCACCCCCUCCCCGCACGUGCGAAGGACCAUGAGCAAAUUACCCACCGUGGCCCGGCCCACGUCGGCCCACUCCACCCUCUCCGACCGGGCCUCGCCGUUAAGACCGAAGGCGCUUUCGGCCCGUCGUCGGCCCACGAACAGUUGAAUUUUGUCCCCUUCGCAUUUCCCUCCACAACUAUUGAGAGCAGCAACAACAACAACAACAACAACAACAUCUAUUUCUCAUCUCACGCCUGGGAGGAUUGCUUUCCGGCGGCCACCGUCGGCGGUGGAUUCUCUCCGUCCUUCGCCUCCCCGGCCACCUCCGAGUCGAACUACUUCUCCCCGCCUUUAAGAGGGCUCAGGCUUCAUAAGUCGGAGUCUGACCUCACUGAGGUGAUCUCCGCGGCCACAUCCACGACCAAUUCGCCGAUGGCGGACAUGGAUUUUAUGCUCGACGGACUCGAGUUGCACCCGAGUUUCCAUCUUGAUGCUUCUAGCUUCUUCUCAUGAACUUUGCACUUAGGGGCGCAUAAGUAGAUAUGGCCAAGUAAUUUUGGCUUUUUUUUAGGCUUUAUAUAGGUUGAAUAUGUAUGCAUGGUAGGUAUUCUUUGCUAUGAUGGUUCCUUUCUUAAGGAGAGCUUUUUUUUCUUUUAGGGGAUUUCUAUGUCUUCUUUUGGACUAAUUAAGUCACGAGGAGUAAUGAUUGUAGUGACAAAGAUUUAGGUGAUUUAAUCAUGUCUUUUUUCCAAAAAAUGUAAGCUUGUUGUAUAAUCAAGUUGGUGGUUUGCACUUCUUCUAGAGUAAUAACUUUGGUAGCUGAGUAUAUACUUAGCAAUGCAGUUAAUGAAUUAGUUUUACACAUACAACAGUAUUAUGGCGUCCACUCUGAAAAACUGAUAGAAUUAUUCUUAGUAAUUACACACCAAUUUGUUAAAAAAGUUUAUCAUCAUCAAUGACUUGAAAUACUAUACGAACAAAAUUUUUUUUUUUUUUUUUUUUUUUUUGAGAAAUAGGUAGCAAGCUACCUGCUUCAUUCAUUAGGUAAAAUGAACUGGGCAUACAAGUUGGAAGCAGCUUAGGCCUCCGAGAGGUCGGCAAAACACAAAAUUAAAUUAAAAGCAAAAGAAAGAGGGAGGGAGAUCAAAGUCCCAACGGGGAGUGGAGCAGGGGGUGGAGGUACAAGAGGGGCGUCAGAGCAAUGUGGUCCAGUCGUCGAUCAGUUGUUUGAGACGUUCUAAAGAUCGAGCAACAUUGGGCGACUUUCCGUUGAAGACGUAGUUGUUUCUGUCCGUCCAAAUUACCUACCAGGUCGCAGCCAGGACAAUCAGGCGAUGUUUUCUCGACGAUUCGACGGCGAUUUCUGUAGUUUCGGCCCAGAGUCCUCUAGCGUCGGCUGAGCUGGCGUUGUUUGCGUCCAGUCCUCCUGUAUUGAGGAGGAGAAAUCGAAGAUAAACGCAAUCGUUGAAGAGGUGGUCACAGCUUUCCGUGAGGACUGCGCAGAAGGCACAGUUCGGGUCUACAUGCAUGCCUCUGAUGAGCAAUCUGUCGGCAGUGGGUAAUCUUUUUCGAAGGAGUAGCCAAAUGAAGAUUUUAAUUUUAACGGGGAUUUUUAGCUUCCAGAUAUGCUGAUUCGUCGGGGCACGCAACCCAGCGUCCGUGAUGGUCUGGUAAAGGGAUUUAACCGUGAAUAAUUGAUUGGAGGUCCAUCGCCAUUUGACCGAGUCCUUACUGGCGCAUGGUCGGAGGUCUCGGAGCAAGUCUUUAAGCAGCGACAGCUGUCUGCGACUUUCAGUAGAGCGAGCGGUCGUGAAGCCACGACAGAUAAAGCGCCAUCUCCAGCCGCUUUGGUUCCAACAUUGGGAGAUCCGGGCUUCCUUAUUGCAGAUGUUCGAGAAGAUAAUCGGGAAUAGGGUACGAAGAGGGGCUUCUCCAAUCCAGAUGUCGGACCACAUCCUGAUAUUUUUUCCGUCUCCGAGCUCGUAGGUUACUCCACAUGAGAAGAUAUCUCGACAAUAGAGCACGCUUUUCCACCACUGCGAAUAGGGAACGAAGGCUCUGCCCUCCAGCAAUGGCUUUCGUCUGACGUAGUAGAGGGAUCUAAGCAAUUUACACCAAAGGAGGUCUGGGUUGGUAAAGUAACGCCACCACCAUUUGGUUAAGAUUGCCAGAUUCAUAGAGUUUAGUUCUAAGAUUCCAAGUCCGCCUUCUCGUUUACUUUUGCAUACUGUAUUCCAGUUGACGAGACAAGCACCACCAGUGAUUUUGGAGCACCCCUUCCAGAAGAAGGCUCUUUUGAGGCCCUCUAAUCGAUUUAUCACCUACUUUGGCGCCCUAAAGAUGGAAAAGUAGAAUAGUGGCAGGUUGGUGAGAACCGAGUUGACGAGCGUGAGUCUUCCCCCUAGCGAUAGUAGUUUGGCUUUCCAGCCUUCUAUUCUCGCCUCAACACGAUUGAUGACCACAGCCCAGUCUUCCUUGCGAAGUUGCUUAUUGUGAAGUGGUAGGCCCAAAUAGCGAAGCGGUAGGCGUCCCACUUGGCAUCCCAAAAUGUUCGCAAGUCUAGUGGCCUUACGAUGGUUGGGUCCCAAAUAGUACAGUUCCGAUUUCUCCUUAUUGAUGCUGAGGCCAGAGGCCCAUUCGAAUAUGUUCCAGAGGAACAGCAGGUUGUGCAUAAAACGUUUCCUUGGUUCACAAAAGAAGAUAGUGUCGUCGGCGUAUUGCAAGAGCACCGUUUGGCAGUCAUCAGAUGGUCCGAUGCCUUGUAGCUGAUUAUUUCUCCUCGCAGUUUCAGUUAGUCUGGCUAGACAGUCGGCGACCAAUAAGAAUAGGUACGGGGAUAGGGGGUCCCCUUGCCGGAGCCCCUUCAUAGGUUUCAACCAUUGGGUCGGGACAUCGUUUACUAGAAUGGCUACUUUAGCAUUGCAAAUACAUUGCUCGAUCCAUGCCCACCAUUUGUCGCUGAAGCCUAGCCAGUGUAGGAUACGUUUAAGGAAGGACCAUCUGACGUUGUCAAAAACUUUCUCAAAGUCAACCUUGAUGCUUGUGCAUUCCCUGCCAGAUUUAGAGCACCAGUUUACUAGUUCGCUUGCAGUAACGAAUGAGUCUGUCAGUAGUCGGUCUUUAAGGAAAGCCGAUUGUGUAGAGGAGAUAAUGAACGGUAGUUUGAGUGCUAAUCUGUUGGCCAAGACCUUAGAGAUAAUUUUCUGAAUUCCGUUGAUGAGGCUGAUGGGUCGGAAGUCCCUAGCUUUGCGCGCGCCCUCCUUUUUUGGUAUGAGGCAGAGAAAGGAAUAGUCUGUCGGGCCCGUGAAAAGUGUGCCAUCAUAGAGCUCAGAGAAGACCUUAAGGAUGUCGUCCUUGACCACAUCCCAGAAGGUUUGGAAGAAAAUAAGUAGAAAGCCGUCUGGUCCGGGCGCCUUAUCGCAACCUAGUUGGAAGGUGGCAGUCUUGAUUUCGUCGAGGGUGAAUGGCGUCAUUAAGGAGUCAGGAUCGAGUAGUCUGUUGGAGUGGUAAAGGCCACUCCAGUCACCGAGUGACGAAGGUUCGUCCGCAUGAUUCCCAAACAUUCGUUUGAAAGAUUGGUAGAAGUACGAUCUCUUAUGCUCUUCAUUGGUUAUCUGUUGGCCGAAAUCAUCCUCGAUGGCCACUAUUGUGAUUUCCUCCUCCUCUAGUAUUAGUAGGAGGUUUGACUUGAGUUCGGCCCGUUUAUCGAAGGUUUCCUUGGGCAAAUUUUGCGAUUCCUCGAGUUGGUCAAUAGCUUGGAGUUCAGAUUGCAAUUGAUUUUUGACCUUGGUGAUACUGUGGAAAUGGGUCUUGCACCAUUCUUUUAUCCGGACUCUGCAGUGUCGGAGUUUAGCAGUGAUAGAUAGGAUGGCCGAGCGUUGACCGGUAGUUUCAUUCCACCAGACAGGCACGUUUGAAGUAAAGUCCUCCCUGGUAAGCCAAACCCUCUCGAACUGGAACCUACGCGAGGCAGGUGGCGGCCCUGUUGUAAGCACAAUCGGGCUAUGGUCAGAAGUGAUCUUGGGCAGAGCUUUUACCUUGCUGAAUGGAUAAGAAUGAUCCCACUUCGUCGAGAUGAGAAAUCUGUCUAGCUUGGCCAGAGUGGGGCUUUGUUGCAUAUUAGACCAGGUGAAGUUUUGGUUAGACAAAGGUAGGUCAAUAACAGCGAGGCUAUUGAUUAGAUUGGAGAACAUGCUCAUGGCUUUGAAGCUCCAAGGCUUUCCUUUCCUCUCAGAUUGAUUCUUGGUGAAAUUGAAGACUCCGCAAAUUACCCAGUCGGAAGAGCAGGAACUGCUAAAGGAGAGGAGUUCGGCGCAAAAUUCUUCUUUGCCGCCCCAGGUUGGCAGCCCGUAGACGUUCGUGAUAAAAAAUAAUUUCCUACUAGCAAGAUGAGUCAGGUGGAGAGUUAGCAAGUGUUUACGCACUAAAACUGCAUCACAAGAGAAACGUCUAGAACUCCAACAAGUAAUUAAGCCCCCAGAAGCCCCGGUUGCGGGAACAAAAUGGCACCUGUCGAAACUAGAGCCGCAACAGGAGCGAAGAAAAGACCGGGACACAGAAUCCACUUUGGAUUCUUGGAUACAGACCACAUAACUGAAAUACUUAGAGAUGACCGACCUAACGCAACGACGCUUGACAGGGUCGUUAAGACCACGGACGUUCCAACACAAAAUGUUUAACAUCAAACUACGACACACACCUAAAGGCAUAAAGCGACACACACCAGAUAGGCAACGCAGACAUCAACACACUACGCCCCGACGUGUAUGAACCUGUGAAGAUCCGAGGCUUCUGCGUCCGAGAGAUCCACCCCGCACAAAAGGCUCUUGGACUUAACUUUCUUCCUAGUCAGUUUGCGUGCCUUGGUCCUGAGUCCAGAAGAUGUACCCUCGAGUAAGACGGCUUUUCUGCGCAUGGCCCUGCUGAGGGUGGAGUCCGUUUGCGCGUUCCGGAGCCGCGUGCUUGAUCUGAGAGGGUCCGGGGUGUUGUGGGAGGUAGCUGAAGCAUCCGCCUUUUUGGGAUCAUCUCGCACCAAAGCAGCACCAGAUGGGGGGGCUGUACCUGUAUCUCCGAGUGGCCCCGGUACGACAGCUGCUGUUGAGAGACCCCCUGCCCCUCAUUGAAGGGCCCCCAUCGCGGCCAGAUUUGCCUCGGGGUCGACUAGGAGGCGGGGGUUGGUGUCCGACUCUCCCUCAUGAUCGACGAACAGGCGAGGGGAAGAAGGGUAAGGGCCGGCGGUCGCAGCGAAGGGCGAUGAAUCACCGUCCCCGAUCAGCUCCAAAGAAGCGGCGAGGGCAUCGUGCUUCGCUCCUCCGACUCCUUCGAGAAGCACUGUUGACGAUCCGAUAAUGAAAACCGAAGGGCCCCGACCACUAAGGCGAUCCGGUCCAAGGGCCCGAAGAGCAAAGAAACCACCCCGCAGGAGCAGGCCAGGAAAGGGUGAUGUGGGCCUGGCACGAGGCUCCAGCUGAGGCCCAAUAACUAGCGCAAAGGAAAGCCCACCCAUCGCAAAGGAAAGCCUACCCAUUGCCCUUAGAGAAAAUAAGGUGGGAAAGGUGGGCCCAGAGCCAGAGGAUAGCAUUGGUAGCUUGGGGCCCGAGGUUUGACCCGUGACGUUGAUUGUCUCGGGUCCAACAACGAGGCUGCAUGAGUAAUUAGCCUUCUUAGGUGAAAUCGCAACCCGAGGAUCUCUGGUAGGUGAAACCGCAGCCCGAGGAAGGCUAUUAGCGCUGAAAUGGCAAGGAGGCGAUAGGCGAAGCAUCCUGCCCCCGCUCUGUCCUCUUACCAUUUCUGAGCAAACCUCAGGGGUCGCGCUACACGCAGUCCUCGGGGCUAGCCCUCCCUCCGCCUCGGUCUUCGAGCGAGAUCUGCCCGUUGCGGCCCAGCCCCACCGGCCUGCCGCCACACCGAGCAACCCCAACCGGCCUCCCUCCGCACCGCGCAGCCUCGGCGCCCGACGGAUAGCCGGCGCUCCCGCCGACCCCGCAGCACGACGCCCCGCCGCCAUCGGUUGGGCCCUCGAGGAAGCCGACGUAAGCAGGCCGGACCUCAGAGCCCUGUGAUUAGAGUGGUUUGUCUCCGCUUCCUCCAACUCCCCAGGAGCGUCCUCCAUGGCCUCAUCUUCGCUUGCCUGGUUGCCGUCUGCUUGGCGUUCGUGGUUCCGAUUGGCUGGGCGCUCCCCGGGGUUGCCGUCUCCGUUGCGUGGAGGUGUGGGAGGUGCGGGAGGUGCAUCAACCCCGCCUGCGUCAGCCCGUUCCCAUCGCUCCAGGUGGACCAUGACCGGGAACAACUCCUCGCCGAUUAUCACAGAGAGGUUCUGGGGGAUGUUGUAGAUCGAGUCGAGAGCAAUCUGACAGCGAAAAGCUCGCAGAUCCGUCAUCGCCCUAGAAACGCUGUCCGCCUUAAUGAAUCGGCCGAAGCUGCUAACCAGCGCCGCCACUCUCGCCACUGACCAGAUCUCGAAGGGGAGAUUAAUAAGCCGGAUCCAGGCCUUGUAUUGGACACGAUGUGGCCGAGCGUCCCGGUAACGACCCCACGGCCAACACCGCAGCCAGAAUCGGUUAAGUGUAAGAAUCUCUCUUCUGAUGAGCACGUCGGCCGGAACCCAAUUCGGCAAGAAGAUUGCGUAGUUUCGCUCUCUGCAGCGCGCGACUGCGAAGUCCUCAGUAUAUCCCCCAAAGCGACUGGCCAAAGCAGUCUUAAUGACCGUAAUCGGCUCCGGCCCGAGGUUCGCUGGCUCGAUGACAUCCGCGAGGAUGGCGUUCCGACGUAGCUCGAUUCGUCGCAGGUACUCCUCCGUAUAGGGGACAAAGACCUUGUGGGGAGGAGCUCGUGCCCUGAGGUUAGCCGCUCUAUUUAUUGCGGCUUUCCUUAAGCCAACUGUCUCUCUGCAGGUUGUCGCUCGAUGGCCGGUUCUCCAGCACCUAAGGCACCGCACGGGGUCGCGACACUCCACAACAGCGUGGUCAGUCGCCAAACACCGGAAGCACCUCUUCUGCGAUCUUCUUGUGGAACGGUCUCUGUAGGUUCGAGGUGGAGGGGGGCGAGUAUGAGGGUGGUGGGAGCUGAUUGCCUUGGGUUGAGCAGUUGGCUUCCUAAGCAAGGCCUCCUUAUAAGAUCCUCUGAUCAAAGGAGAGCAUUUACUAGGAUCAACUUCCCCCCUGGUCAUCACCUCGCCCCGCGGUUCUUGAGUCAAACCCCGAGUUUUACUCCAUUGGUGUCGAACUGCAUGGAUGCCACAGCGCUCAUGAGUGGAACCCUUGCCAGUUGCAUGAAACCUCCUCUCCUCAUCUUCAAUACAGCUGGAGGGCCUCCUUAACUCCCCGCCUCUGCUAUCUUCAGGCUCUUCGUGUGCAGCCGCUUCUUCAUAAAUAUUUCAUCUAUUUGGUCCUCUUUAAGAUCGCUCCGCUUGCCUCGGACGGAGCUCUUGCUGGAAGCGGGUAACUUCCCUUUCUCCACUUCAUGAUCUCUGCAGACCGCGAAUAAAUCUCUACCAACCUCGUCUGCCCGGGCAAACCUCGUCUCAUCAUCUUCUUUACAGCUGGAUGGCCUCCAUAACUCCCCACCUCUGCUACCUACCUCCGAGCUUUUCGCAUGCAGCCGCUUCUUCCUGGAUUUUUCAUCAUUUCGGUCCUUAUUGAAACCACUCAGUUUGCCUCGGGCGGGGCUCUUGCUGAAAGCAGGUAACUUCCCUUUCUCCACUUCAACCUCUCUGCAGACCUCUAGUAAAUUUCUACCAACCUCGUCUGCCCAGGCGAGCCGUUUCACCGUCUUUUUCUUCUUCGCAUUGAUGCAUGUGACCUCUCCUCCUAGCGUCUUCUUCUCAGCUCCCAGCAUCUCAGCUCCGAGAGAGAGUUACUCAAACAGUCCCCAAAAGAAAAGAAUUUUUUUUUUUUUUUUUUUUUUANACGGAGAUGACACAUUGAUUAUUCGAUCCCCCAUUAAUCCCACAUCAAAUAAGUCAUUAUUAAUAAUUUGAUCUUUAACACCCACAGUUAGAAGUCAAUAGAUAAAAGUUCUUUUGAGCUGAAAAGCCAUUUGAAGUAAAACCAUCCAAGAUCAGAAGUCAUUCAAGUACUUUCCAAGACAAAAAGAGAGUUGUCUGAAAUGAAGACCAUCUGAGCUACUGCAUCUGCCCAGUUCCCCCGCAAUCACCAAAACAAUCACUGUAUAAAAACACAGUUAUUAGGAUGAAAAAUGUAGCUUUACAAGCAAAUUCACAAAUUUCAUCUGUUCCGCGAAUGAAAUGUUACUAGCAAUGUUUAAUACACCGGGUCUGAUUACUCUGUACAGUUACCUAGACAGAAGUUUUUUCUUUGCUUUCCGAAACAGCUCGAGAACUGCUUGCUUUUGCUUCUCUCAUUUUCCUCAGAGCCUCUCUCAGUCCCAAGACAAUAAACAAAUUGGUGAGAGUAAGCAAUGAUUCCGCGCCACCGUGCAGCCAGUCGACGUUGGACAAGGAAGUUCCGUAGUGCACUUUCGCUGUCGACAGUAAUUAACUUCAUGUUAUGUAACAGUGUGCAUAGAAACAACAUAAAUAGGAUAGAUUGAUUUAAAGAUGAUUACCGUAUAUUCCAGCAGGAACUAUUUGAAGAAUACGAAGAGAUAUACAUGAAAGAAAAAGAAAGAGGUUAAUGCAAGUCAAAAAAUUAGAAAUUCCAUAAAGGUAAUAUUUGAGAAUAAGUAAACUAAUGACUUAGAAAGAAGACCAACAAUGUUUGCAGCAAUGUUCUCGCAACAUUUAGCUCAAGGUAUACGAAUAAUUGACGGUUUCUUCACUCAAAAGGGGCAGUUCGGAUUAUUUUUUUUGUGAUAUCGAAAGUUCAUUAGCUAAAAGAAAUGUUUAAGUACGGCAACUGUAAAUAGAUUUCUAACCAUUCUGAAUAUGUAUUAUCUACAUCUGAGGAAAAGUCGAGCAGAAUAUUAGAGUGCUCAGGGGUGGUUUGCUAAGGCAGUGGGAUACUCGAAUCGGACUCGAACUCGAACUCAAACUCGAACUAGAGCAUUAAAACAGUACUUGGAUUUGAAAAUUGAAGGGAACUAAGCAUCCCAAAGUGAUCAACAACUACUAAAUUUUUUCGUAUUUACUCUGCUUAUCAGGGGAGUUCCAAAAUGGCACCUCUAAUCAAUCUUUCCCUAAACCAUUUUCUAUCAAAUUGAUCUUUCUGGUAACAUCAUGCCAAAAGUUACUACUAAACAAAUCUUGAGUUUCAUGUUAUUUUUAUUGGCUUAAAUAGGCCAGCAUUCUGUUCUGUAGUUGAGAGGUCCAACGCACGUUCGAAAUGUUCGAAAUGGCGUGAGGCUAGGUUGGGCCUAGUCAUGUUCGAAAUAGAGUGAGAAUGAUUGGGCCAAAUCACAAUCGAGAUUUGCUGUAUCUGUACACUAAGUGAAUUGGUUGCGUAUUUCUAGCGGCUCAAAUUUUUAGCAUUAGUGCCAUCGAUCCGACAAUUCUUAUUUACUAUUAAAUAUUAAAAUUAUCGUUAUCUUAGAGCUCUGGAGACAAACAGUAGUUAAAUAUACUAUCCAGACUUGUAGUAUUAUUUAAUAUAUAUCCCUUCAUCUAAUUGAAGUCUAUAUUUUUCGAACCAUUUAUCCUAAUAUAUACGAAUUUUCUUAAAUUCAGAAAAAAAAAUGUAAUUUCACACUUGGUUAAUCAAAAUUUAAAACCAACCAAAAAAAAAAAAAGAAAAAAGAAAAAAAAGGAGAAGAAGAGGAAAGGAUAAGGAUAGCAUACUUGUGGCUCCGACAAAGGCGAGGAGGAAAUAGAAGCCAAAAAGGGUGAGCUUGGGCGAAGUGUUGGACUUGGUGAUGAAGUACAAGAAGCCCAAGUAGGGGAAGAGGGAGAAGGCGAAAAGCUGAGAAGCGAUGCUCUGGGAAUCGGCGGUGGGCGCCCAGGGAUCCACGGGCAGAAGCCCACACACCACAAUGCCCAACCUGCUGCUGCUGCUGCUGCUGCUGCUGCUGCUAAAACCGCUUCUGCGUCGAAGAAGCGCUUUUGAGGGUUGGGGGAAGGGAUCUGGGGCAAAGCGAUUGUGAGCGCCGGGGGGUAGAAGAAGAGGAUGAUGGGGUUUCCAGGGGGACUGCGAGGAAAAGCAGCAGCUUCGGAUCAUUUUUUUGGGCUUUUGCUCUCCUUCGCCCCUCCGCCGGAAGUAAAAAGAUCUGCUUCUGCUUCUAGUGCUGCCAUUGGCUAAAAUGUAUAUUAAAGGCAUUUCAGCAGUACUCUGUAUAAAAUUAGCUUCAAAGUUUAUUAUUUGGUACUAUUAGAUUUUUAAUUCUUUGAUAAAAAAUAUUAUGCGGUCAGAAUAAUAAUAAAUUUUUAAGAGUUGAGUAAGUAGUUGGUUAAAUAGUAUGAUCUAAUGGAUAAAAAUAGUUAAAAAAAAUAAAUUUAACGGUAGAAAGUUUGGUAAUAUUAAAUACUUGAUGCUAUUAGAAAACACUCUAGUCAGACUCAUAUAUAUAUAUAUAUAGAUAUAUAUAUAUAUAGGCUGGGACUACUAUACUCUUAUGAGUAUAGAAUCUCUUGUACUCAUAAAUUUUUAACCGUUGAUUGAUGGGAUGUGUGGUUAGAAUGAUGGCGGUUCCCACUUAGAAUGAUAGUGGUCCCCUAGGACUGAGUGGGUAGUUGGUUGAAUAGUAUGAUCUAACUGGUAAAAAUGAUCAUAGAAUAAAUCUAAGAGCCGAAAACUUAUGAGUAUAAGGGAGCCAAUAUUUAUAAAAGUAUAGUAGCCGGACUAUAUAUAUAUAUAUAUAUAUUAUAAAUUAUGCUGGAAUAACUAUUACAUAGCAAAACGCUCUUUUUGUUAUCAGUUUUUAAUCGCCUUGAUGUCACAAAUGUAUGGUCAGGGAUGAAUUAGUCCGUUUAGAGUUUAUGGUUCCCCUAUCGGAUUGAGUGGCCCCACUGGAUUAUAUAUUUACAUCUAAGAUUAGCAAAUAAUGAAAAGAGUUUAUCGCAUAAUAGGUUAAAAAACUGAUGAGGCAAUCAAUAGAAUUUUGCACUAAUAAGUAGCAGUCCACUCUCUCUCUCUCUCUCUCUCUCUCCCUCAUCUCUCACUCUCUCUUCUCAUCAUCAGUCUCUUCUCAUCUCUUCUGCUUCCUCUCCUAUAUAUAUAUAUAUAUAUAUAUAUGAGUCUGGCUACUAUACUAUCGGUAGUAUGGAGGGCUCCGUGCUACCAAGUUGUUUUCGAUGAUGUGGCUUCCAAAUCGACGAUUGGCUCCGUUAGACUUGAUCUACACUAUUGAAAGUAUUUGGAACUAAAUUUCAGAUUUUUUUCGACAUCAUUUGACCUGUGAUCAAAAGAUCUUAAAAUUGACAAUUUUAAUGGCCAAUGUGGUGUGUUUGUGAGUUUAACGGUGUAAAAUAAUCCAAAUGCGAUGAAAAUUUUAUAGAAAAUUCUUUUCACUAUUUAGAGUAAGAUCAAUAUAUCUGAUCUUGAAUUUAAAUCUUUUAUCAUCAUUUUUUAUGAGAUUUUUAUUUUCAGCCGUUCAAUUUUAAACUACUUGUUUGAUAGGUAAAUGAUAUCGAAAAAUUAUGAAACUUAGUUUCUAAAUACUUUUAAUAGUAUAGAUCAAGUCUAACGAAGCCAAUCGUUGAUUUGGAAGACACAUCAUCGAAAAUAACUUGGUAGCACGGAGCCCUCCGCGCCACCGAUAGUAUAGUAGCCUAGUUCUCUAUAUAUAUAUAUAUAUAUAGAGAGAGAGAGAGAGAGAGAGAGAGAGAGAGAGAGAGAGAGAGAGAGAGAGAGUUGGGCAAGAAUACUCUCAAAAGCACAAUAGAUUGGUGCUUUUGAGUUUUUAAUCCUUGGAUGGAGAAAUGUNCCUCUCUCUCUCUCUCUCUCUCUCUCUCUAUAUAUAUAUAUAUAUAUAUAUAUAUAUAUAUAGGGAUAAUUGCCUAUAUACCCCUCAUACGUUUGGAAAUAUCCGAUUUAUCCCUACUUUGUUUUUUCUUUCUAAAACACUUCUCAUAUGUUCCACCGUUAUUAUAAAAUACCCCCGCAGUUAUCUCCUGUUAAAUUAACAUGGGUUAAACGUGAGUUAAAUAUCUACCACAGUUAAAAAAAAUUAAAAUAUCAAUUUUGCUCUUAACGUAAGGGCAAAUAAGAAAGGUUGGUGACGGUAGAGGGGUAUAUUGGAAAAGACCAAAAGUCAAAAUACUUUUUAUACCCCCUGAUUUUAAGGGCAAAUAAGAAAGAAAGUGUUGGUGGAAAGUUUUAUAUGAAAGGGUAAAAUAGUAAUUUUACAGAGAUAACAGAGUUACUUAACAGGUUUUAACUCUAGGGGUAUAUUAGAAAUAGGUUGGAACGUAGGAGGGGUAUUUUCAAUAUUAGCCUUCUAAGAAGGGUAAAUCAGAAAGUCGAAAAUUUUUCAGAGGUAUACAAGCAAUUGCCCCAUAUAUAUAUAUAUAUAUAUAUAUAUAUAUAUAUAUAUAGAUAGUGCGGCUAGGAUGCUUAUGGAAGCACGGAGGGCUCCGUGCUUCCACUUUGUUUUCGAUGUUCGGACAUUCGAAUCGACUAUCGGCUCCGUUAGANNNNNNNNNNNNNNNNNNNNNNNNNNNNNNNNNNNNNNNNNNNNNNNNNNNNNNNNNNNNNNNNNNNNNNNNNNNNNNNNNNNNNNNNNNNNNNNNNNNNNNNNNNNNNNNNNNNNNNNNNNNNNNNNNNNNNNNNNNNNNNNNNNNNNNNNNNNNNNNNNNNNNNNNNNNNNNNNNNNNNNNNNNNNNNNNNNNNNNNNNNNNNNNNNNNNNNNNNNNNNNNNNNNNNNNNNNNNNNNNNNNNNNNNNNNNNNNNNNNNNNNNNNNNNNNNNNNNNNNNNNNNNNNNNNNNNNNNNNNNNNNNNNNNNNNNNNNNNNNNNNNNNNNNNNNNNNNNNNNNNNNNNNNNNNNNNNNNNNNNNNNNNNNNNNNNNNNNNNNNNNNNNNNNNNNNNNNNNNNNNNNNNNNNNNNNNNNNNNNNNNNNNNNNNNNNNNNNNNNNNNNNNNNNNNNNNNNNNNNNNNNNNNNNNNNNNNNNNNNNNNNNNNNNNNNNNNNNNNNNNNNNNNNNNNNNNNNNNNNNNNNNNNNNNNNNNNNNNNNNNNNNNNNNNNNNNNNNNNNNNNNNNNNNNNNNNNNNNNNNNNNNNNNNNNNNNNNNNNNNNNNNNGGGGCCCACAUCAUCCUAACCGCACAUCUCUUAAUCCAAUGGUCACAAACUUGGUAGCACCAAUAACUUGGUGCUAUUAAUAGCAUAGUAGCCUAGUUCUAUAGAGUCCGGCUACUAUGCUAUUAAUAGCACGAAGCACUUGGUGCUACCAAGUUUUCCGCCGUUAGAUCUACCCUUUUGAUCAUUUUCACCCGUUAGUUCAUACUAUUAAACCAACCACCCACUCAACCCUAGGGGGCCAUAUCAUCCUAACCGCACAUCUCUUAAUCCAAUGGCCAAAAACUUGGUAGCACCGAUGACUUGGUGCUAUUAAUAGCAUAGUAGCCUAGUUCUAUAUAUAUAUAUAUAGGCUAAAGCUACUAUACUCUUAUGUGUAUAGAGCACUUUGUACUCAUAAGUUGUUUUCAAUGAUGGAGCUUCCGAAUCGACGAUCCACUCCGUUAAAUAUGAUCUAGAGUAUUUAAAAUUUUUAGAAAAUAAAUUUCGUAAAUCAUAAUAAAGUUUAUCAAGCGGGUGUAAAAUGAACAGUCAAAAUCGAACGACGUCUUAAAAAUGGAUGAUAGGAUCCUUCAAUUUAAGAUCAUAAUUAUUGAUCUUUAUCUAUGUAGUGAAUAGAAUUUUCUAUCAAAAAUUCAACUGAUUUUGAUUCUUUUACACCGUUAAACUGACAAAUAUUCUAUACCGGUCGUUAAAAAUUGUCAAUUUUGUGACCUUCUGAUCGUAAGGUAAAUGAUGUCGAAAAAUUAGAAAAUUUGAUUUCUAGACCUUUUAAAUGCUCUAGAUAACAUUUAAUUGUGUGGAUCGUCGAUUCGGAAACUCUAUCAUCGAAAACAACUUAUGAGUACGAUGGCGACGUACUUAUAAGAGUAUAGUAGCUAGACUAUAUAUAUAUAUAGUUGAUCUAGGAUACUUUUACAAGUAUCAUCCCCAUGUUGCUAUCACGUUUUUAGCCAUUGGAUCUACUUUUUGAUUACAAAUAGCCCUUGGAUCAAACACUAUUUCACCUACCACCACCUACCGCCAUUAUCUCAACCUCACAUCUCUCCAUCCAAGGGCUAAAAACACACAAGUAUCACUUGGGUGAUACUUGUAAAAGUAUUCUAGCCCUACUCUAUAUAUAUAUAUAUAUAUAUAGUCCGGCUACUAUACUCUUAUGAGUAUAGAGCCUCUUGUACUGAUAAGUUUUUUACCGUUUGAUCUACCUUUUAAUCAUUUUUACCCGUUAGAUUAUACUAUUCAACCAACCACCCACUCAACCCUAGGAGGCCCAAUAUUAACCUAACCGUAAUCACUCUCAUCCUAACCGCAUAUUUUUUCAUCCGAACUUCUAAGUUUCUAGCCCUCGGAUCUACUUCUUGAUUAUUAAUAGAAUUUGGAUCAAACACUAUUUCAUCUAUCACCAUCAUCUUAGGGCCCGUUUGUUUUGGUGUAAGUGGAGUGAUGGAACUCAAGUUCCAUCACUUCCGUUAUUUGUUUUGGUGUAAGUGAAAAAUAUAAUGUAACUCAAGUUACGUUAGAGCUCCACUUCACCUACUCUCGACUUCCGGCUCUAAAGUACCGAACUCGACUUCCACCACACUCAACCUUCUCUAAACAAUUUAUUAAACAGUAAAACCUAAACUCUACUUUCUUUAUAAUGGGUUAGAAUUACCUUAUUUAUAAUAAAUUAAGAUUAUCUUUAAAUAAUAAUAAAAAAUUUAAUUAUAUAAUAGGUUAAAUUUUAUAGUGAUAAAUUUAUUACUAUAUUUAGGAGAUAAUGGGAUCCACUUACUUACAUCAAAACAAACAACGGAACUCAAAAAACUAAUUUUACCAGCACCAAGUUACAUCAAAACAAACAGACAGAGAAGUGAUUGAAUUUAACUUUCAGUGGUACGAGUUACGUCAAAACAAACAACAGAAAAAUAAUCACACUUCAGGGAAACUCAAACACCACUACACUUGACUUACGUUGAAUCUACAAAUUCGUCAAUCCAAACGCCCCCUUAACCUCACAUCUCUCCAUCCAAUGGCUAAUAACUCUAAAGCACAUCUUCAUAGUGCUUUUGAAGUAUUCUAGCUCAACUCUCUCUCUCUCUCUCUCUCUUUAUAUAUAUAUAUAUAUAUAUAUGACGAAAUACGUACAAAAUUUGGCUAGACUAUAAUUUUUGAAUCAAAUUUUGGAUCAGCUAUCCAAUUUUUAAAUUUUGAUUUACUGUUUACUUUUUAAUUUGUUUGAUUUGAUAGACUUUAAAAUUUAAUAUGUCGUUUAUUUUUAAGAUUUAGUAUUCUUAAUUUAAUUUUGCAACUAUAGUUUUAUAUAAAAUAAAUAAUUGACUUAUAUUUUAAAGUCAAAUACUGUUAAAUGAUUCAAAUCAAAUAAAUUAGAAAAUUUAAAAAAUUAAAAAUUAGAAUAGCUAAUUUAAAAUGCAUAGUUGAAGUAAGUCUUCGACCUCUUUAGCUUUUUUCUUUUUUUCUUUUUCUUUUGUUUUUUUUUUUUUUUUUUUUUGUUUGGUGCAAGUUAGUCCAUUAGAGAUUUUUUUUUAGUCUGACUCUCAAGUCUCUUAGAGGUCGUUUGAUUGUAUAUAGUUGUAAUUGUACUGCAGUUAUAAUUAUAUAUAAAUACAAAUUUAGUGUUUGAUUUAAUAUAUUUAAUUUCAACUACUAUAGUAGAAACUACAAGGGGAGACCUGUAGCAGUUAGAAUUAUGUCCAAAUUAAUUAUUACUAAAACUACAGCAAUUAAAGAGAGUAAUUUUAACGAAAAGUAUGAUUACCUCCUUACUAUACUUUUAUGUUCACCAAACAUUGGCGGUGUGUACCAGGUGGGGUAACCGUGAGGUCCGGGAAAUAAUGAUAAAAAAAUAAAGCACUUAAUAUAAUCAAUUGUUACAAUAAAAAGUUGGUAGUGUGAUUAAUUGAAAUGAAAAUAUUUAUCCACAAGAUUUUUCUUGCAGUAACUUUUUACAAGCUUGCAAUUUUUGUACUAAGCUCGGAAGUUUACACUAAUAUUAAUUCUACAACAAUCAACAUCUUUUUUUUUUUUUUUUUUUUUAAAAGAAAGAAAAUUCUAGAGGCGAAGAUCGUUGUAAUUGCCACUCCUAUUCCUCAAAUAAUCAAGAGCCGUACGUGAUUCUUGAAUUUUGUACAAACUACAUACAGUACAAGCCGACCGGCGAAUAUCACCCGAUCACAUACUGGGAACGCGCUCAAUCUACGACAUUAUUACUGAAUAACUUAAACUGGUUGGCAUCGAGAACGAGCUUCCGAAUAGAGGAGAAGGCACCGGUGAUCCCGACGCCGGUGAAUAACACCAUGACAGAUACAUUGACCCAGUAGACGGGGGAGCUCAUCCGCGGGCGGAGGGCCAUGUUGUAGAGGAGCAUCGGGAGGACGAAGUCGAGAGGGAUGAACCCGAUGGCGCCCACCACCGCCGCGAUGUCACCGAAGAAGGGUAGCAUCGCGGCCACGAACGCGCAGAAGACCAUGUAGAGUGUUCGUAGGAUUAUUCUCGGGAUCAGGUUUCGCUUCGAGAACUUGCCUUGCUUUGCGUCGGCCGAGUUCUUCUCCAUAAUCUCGUAGGCUACUUGAGAGUAUACCUGCGAAUUUUGAUACAAGUGUGAUCCACAUGAGAAAAUGACUAGUCGGCGGAUAUAACGUGAUUCAAUAAAUCUAUCUGUCAAUAUCAAAAUCAAGUUGGUAAAUAGUAGUACACUUUUAUCGAUGCCGGUAAUUACUUACCAAGCCAAUGGCGAGCAAUUGGAGGAGGACGAAGAUCACCGUGAUGCCCAGAAGCCACGUGGGAGCGAGCGAGGGCCCGUUAUCCGGCAUAAGGCUCUUCAGGACGUUGGAGCUGACCUGUUUACCGAAUGCCCAGUAACCCGAUAUCGCCGUGGAAUAGAAGGCGAAGAAUAUGACCCAAUAGCACAUUAUCAGCCCCUUAACCAUUUUUCCGGCCGCCGGAGGAGCCAAUGUGGCCUGCAAUGUCGUUUUGUUAUAUGGGUUAAUUAUCAACUAGUUUAUGUGUAACUGUGUUUGUGUUCCAAGCUGGUCCAAUUAAUUAAUUAUAGAAAUAAAAUCAGGGGUCAAAAUGAGAUUUUGUUCAAUUAUUACCUUUUAUAUCCUCUAAAAUUUUUGGUUUAUGAUCAUUUGAUUAUAAGAAAAGUUAGUUGCGAAAAGCAAGGAGUGUGGCGUUUAUUCCGUAUUGUUCGUCUUUUUCCGACUCCAUAGUUUAUAUGUAGAAUUGUACAUUUAUAUAUCUUUUAAGAAAAGAAAAAUUAUUAACCUGAAUCUCCGGCAAUAUCCCAUUGCCGAAGACGGUCGCCAAGAUGGAGAUGGAGGUGAAUGCGUCGAAGGACCGCUCGGAUUUGGAUGAGCUUAGUGAAUAGUCCUUUGGCGGAGCGUUUCGCGAUACACCUGGUUCAAUUCAAUGAGAGAAAAAUCAAUGUCAAAGGGUCCCGGAAGAAAUUGUUCUAUGAUAACGCAGUGGACUGGGUUUAGUCGACAAUUUCAUUAUAUGUUGUUUUUUAUGAUGGAACUUUAUAAGAAAAAUAUUAUAUUUUCAGUUCCUUUGCUUAAAUACAAGAUGCGCUAACAAAUUAAGCUUUGUAGAUCUAAUCUCAACAACUUUUCUCAUUUCAAAAGAAUUAAAUGUGGAUAAAUGGUGCAACAUUUAUGGGUGCUAACAAAAAAUAGGCAUCAUCUAAUUCUCCUUACCUAAAUAAGCUACGAAAUGAUGACAAUGCUUUUCUAACCAGUACAUCAAAUAUUUAGUGCAUGCUUUCACUAGCUUCUAGAUCGAGCAAUUGUUUUAUGCCAAAAGCCUACAGUAGAGUACUACAUAAACAAAAAUAUCACUAUUUUUGUUAUAACGAAAAGUUGAAAUAAUUUUAAACCUGAAGCGAAAAAAACAAAAAAAAUCUAAUUUUUAAAGUAAGAACAAGGAUUGAGCAAAAUGACCUGCGCGGAUGCAACCGACGACGACAAAGAAAGUGUAGCCCAAGCUCAGGAGGAGCGACGCGAGGUUGAUAUGGCGGAGAGAGUGGAAAGAGGGCAACUGGGAGAGAAGGAUCAAUACGACCGUCACCACGAUGAUGAAAUGGUACAAUUUUAGAGGGCCAUUUGGGAAAAGGCUCGAGUACAUUAUCUUCGCGCAAAAAUGUUACACAAGUUAAUAAGAUAGUCGAUAGAUUCAACGAAAAACAAACUUGUAAUAGAUGAGCUUAAUUCCAAAUAAAUAGCUCCAAUUUAGUAGCGCUAGCUAUUUAUAUAGUAAUUUAUCAAACAAUGCUGCAUCUUAAUUAACAAGACCGUAUAAACUCCUUUACACAUUACUAAGUUCCAAACUACGUCGUUGAAUCUAAGGCCAAAUCAAUACUCAUGAUUAAAAAAUACGUAAUUAGUCGCAGAACUUAUCUUAACAUUAUAUUAACAUCCACACUAUUUUCUAAAGUACGAAACAUAAUUCAAAAACUUACUUAUUUAGUGAUUAUUUAAAGGUUGUAGCACCAUCCUCAUGACAUUAAUUGUUAAUGACGAAUAAGCGAAAUGAGAUUUCUUCUAAAUAUAGUCCAAAAAUGCCAACUUUUUAUGCAAAUUUUUAACAAAUUUUAAUAAUUUUUCAACAACGAGGAGAGGCCAAGUCCUUCUCAAUGAUCUCCUAUUCAUGAUCAGUUUGCAAAAUGAUCCGACUUUUUUUUUUGGCUGCAAUUUUUAACAUAAUGGGAAAGUUCUAACACUAAGAAAUGCUAUUUUACAAAUAGAUUAAUUACAAUAAUUUACAAAACUAUAAAAUUAACGGUCAAACCUUAUUUUUGUCCCCAUAAAUAAACCCAUCAAUCCAUCGUGGUCAUCAUUCAAUUAAUUAAAUAUGACCAUGUAAAAUACCUGCUUGUAAAAGAUUGUAAAAUUGAUUUAUGAGUACAACUUAGUGCCUCCACAAUUGAACAAAAAUUCUCUGGGGAAUGGUCCCAAAUUAAUUUACUUUGUGGCCACUCCCUUGAUAAGGGCCAUAUUGCACCGCAGUCACGCGACGUCCAUUAAUAAGAGGGUCAAGAUGUUCAUCGUUCCCCAAUUCUGGGAGCGUAGUGAAAAUUAUUUGGUGCACUUGAAAAUUAUUGCUUUAAUUUUCUAGGGCUCAGGGUUUAGUAUUUACUGUUUAGAAUUUAGGAUUUUACUCUAGGGUUUAGGAUCUACACAGUCGGAUUAUUAUAAUAAAAAAAUCCGAAGCAAAAUUCCAUUCCCAAUAUCACGAAAACGACAAAAAGGAAAUUUAAUUAAAUGGCGAAUAAAGUCCAUUAAAAAAGAUAAAUUGCAAAUAAGUACUUGAAAUUAAGUACCUCAAGGCAAUCACCCGCGAGCAAAAUGGAUCCAAUCGCCACCCCCGUGUUAAUGGUCGUUUGCACACACACCACAAAGUAGAACAUAAAUCCCGACCCUAAAUUAUUAAAUCCAAGGCACUAAAAUUAUAAGAAUAUAUAUAUAUACUUUUUAUAAAUUAUAAAAGCCCCUACAUUUGAAAAUAUAUGAACGCGUAAAAUCAUGCAUAAAUUGCUAAAUUUGGCCACGAAGUUCAAUUUCCUACUCUAGUUUCUGAAUGAUUCAAAAAACGUUAGGUACUUAUUAAUGAUCUUUUUGCCCGCCAAUUAAAAAUUUUCGAGUCGAAUUGAAAUACAUUAAUGUCAAAGUGCACCAUGCCCAUGCUUUGGCCAAAUUUACACGCAAAAUCCAGCUAUAGUUGUCGAUGCCAUUAGUUUUUGCCAAAUUUACACGUAAAAUCCAGCUACACGGUAACGGAGUUCUAUCGAUUGCGAUCCAAUAGUUUUAAGUGAAGAUUCAAUAAAGGGCACAAUAUGUGCAUACCGAGGACGUCGGCGGCGAGCUCGCGGAAGCGGAUGUGGCGGCGGCCGUGGCCCUCGCAGUGGUCGAGGACUCUCGACAUGAGGAGGUAGGCGUAGAAGGUCACCGCAGCCACCACGGUCAGCGACGCCAAUCCCAGCCACCACCCCAUCCCCCUCAGCGCGUACGGCAGCGUCAGCACCGUCGGCCCCAUGAUCGCCGUCGUCAGGUGGAACCCCGCGUGCCACCACGUCCCUAAUAUAUCGCCCAUAACAAUAUAUAUUAAAAUUAUUUCUGAACUGUUUUCUAUCAUUUACGUCAUUUUAUGAUAUGAAUGUUAUACAUGGAUAAACGUGUUAAGAUUAUUUCCAAGCUGUUUUCUAUUCGUCGAUACCUUUGGAUUCGAGGACGAAGGCCGCGCCGGCAUCGGGAGCCGGGGCGGAGUCUUUGAGGGCAGCGGCAUGUUCAACGUGAAGUGUUGUGUGCGGCGACGGCGACAGCGACGACAUGGACGGUGUUUUGGGGGAGAGGACGAAGGGAGCAGUGUCUCCCAUAUGAGAGAGAGGGAGAGAGAUAACAAUUAAGGAGUGUGAAGUGUGUGGCGAUAACAAUUAAUAGAGCACGGGAAGGGGAUAAAAUUGUGAGCAAAUUAAUUAAGAUUUAAUAAGGGAGGCGUGGAAUCUACGCUCUGUUCGUUAUUCUUUGUGAUGGGAUUGCAGAACAUACAUGCAGGGACAGAGAGAUUGUAAAAAUCAAGGAAACGGAAAAUUAUAAAAAAAAGAAGAAGGAAAGGGAGAGAGGAGGGAGAGAAAAAGAAUAAAUAUUAGUGUACCCAUCAAAUGAAAAAUAUCUUAAUUUAUAACUAAUUAAUACCUACAUAAUAAAAUUAAAAAAUUAAUACGUAAUUAAUAAUAAAAUCAAGAGGAUGGAUCCAAAUUGGUGGAGCUCUCGCCCUAAUCAAUCCCGAAUGGGGAUGUAAAUCGUAGUCAAUAAUAUAGAUUUUGAUCGGUCAAAAAGUAAAAUAAAAAAUAAAAAUAUUUUUCUUAUUUUAUCCAUUUUGAUUCAUUAAAUAUUAACUCUAAUUCCCAUAUGCUAUAAAUAGAGCGAGAAAUAUCUCUAUGUUGACACGUAUUUUAUUUAUAUUUAUACUGCACCUGAUGUAUUAUAGAUCCUAUUACAAUUUUUACAAGACUUGAGAGAGAAAGGGUCGUAGGAUGACACGUGGGGCCGGCAAGAUAUGUGGAGACGGCACUGUUAAUGGUUUAAAAAAAAGGAAGGGGCUGCAGCUGUUCGUUUACCCACGCUAUAAAUUGGGAAGGGAUUUCGGACGCGGAUCUGUUACCAAAAUAAAUCUCGCCGCCCCAGGUAGAUCCAGCCAGUGGUUGUGAGAACCUUCGAAAAUUAAUCGAUCUAGCAAAUUGCACAGAUGACCAAUUCACAGAGAUUUAGGCCAGACCAUGUUGGAAUGCAUAAAUAUUUCAAUAAAAUUGAAUAGAUUUCUAGUCGCCGACUCAGCCAAAUGAACAACUCACGGAGAGUUAGAUCAUGUCUAGAUGUAUGAACAUCUGGGUAGACAUUUUUUCUGAUUUAUUCGAUAAAUAUGUAAUAUUUGAAAGAUAAGCAGUAUGAUCAAAUAUCUAGAAUUAAUAUUAUAUUUAUUUUUAAAAUUAUUUUUUUCAGAAUAAGAUAAAUUAUUUUACUAUAAGAUUUUUCACAAGUAUGAAUUCUCCUUAAAAUGGAUAUAUAUAUAUAUAUAUAUUGUAAAUAUAUUGACAUAAAUAAUAUAUGAAUGUUUUUGAAUUACUUCAUGUCUUUGGAGGUUGGUACUUGAGACCCAAGUUCGAAUCCUAGUUGAUUCACAUUUCUAGUUAAGUUUAUUUCUAAAUGAAAUAAACGAAGCGGGUAGCGAGCUACCUAUCUCUCUCAUAAAAAAAAAAAAAAAAUCUUUAUAAAAUAGCGAUUGUCACAUUAUAUCACUAUAUUUUCAUGACGAUUAGCUAUUACUCGAUCUAUAAAUUAAAACAACAUUAUUUGCAGAAGUUCCAGCGCGACGUCUAAGCUGGGUUUUUGUCUCAGGUCAAGAAGUCAACUAUUUGUGCAUGCACCCGAGUCUUAAUUAAAGAAUCCACUUCAAAGCUUAUGUGAAUGCCAAAGUGAUUUUUAAAUGAGAACAAGGGGCUCUAGUGUUGCAUAGAUUAAGGUGACAACUCAGUAGUAAUGUAAACCAAGUCAACGGCUUGUAAUUAAGUGCAUAGUUUCAUAAACAAGUGAAACACAAUGAACACUUAAUUAGUAUUAUCCAAAUUAACCUGCACAAGUUGGCCUGAAACUUAAGAUUAAUGUACCUUUCAUAGUUGAUAUACAAUUGCAUAAUUACGUGAUUAAUGUUUAUUGGAUUCUACCGUGAGAUCGAUCUAUGACCACAUUAUGUUAAUGUUCAACAAGUUGCAAAUAUAUUUUGAUUACAAGCUAGUCUCAGUGAUUAUGUUUAAAAUAAUAAAUGAUCUCUAUGACCACAUUAUUUUCCCCUUGUUAUAGUUUGUGUUAGGGCAACUAUAUAUUCAUCUAAUUAACUAUUUGUUGGAUUCCACUUCGGAACAAAAUGAGUCGAAAAAUUGAAACAUAUAUAUGGAGUAUAAGUAUAGUAAGUUUUUGCUAACCAAUUUCAAAUGGAAAUAUAUAUAAACAGUUUUUCAAGCAAUAUGUUAAGGAUCUCUACCUUAUCCUUUUUUCAAAAGAUUACGAACAACAGUGGAUGAGAUAUUUAUUUACAGUAUGUCUCUGGGUCUUUCUCUGCUUCUGAUUUCAUGGGCUAUGACACUAAAUUCUAAACUAAUCUCGAAUUUAUAAACUAAAAUAUCUCACGUACACUACAAAAAAAUCUCAAUAUAAUGACGCUUUUAGAUGACGCGUAGAAAAAGCAUUCCUAAGCUUCUUUACAAUAUACCAAAUGCCAAUGCUUCAAAAAGUGUUAUCAUAUGAAUUCUCUAUUGUGUCAAACUAAUUUAUUAAAUAAUAAAUUUUAUUAUUAUUUUUAAAUUUCUGAUGCGUUAAAAUGUCAAAAUAUAUUUUAUCGAUAUUUGGUAUAAAUAAAGCAUUGGUACAUAUACGACGACUCUCCAUUUGUUGAUGAUUAAAUUGAUAAUUUUAAAUAUGACGCUAGACUAUGUUGAGACACUUUUAAAUAUCAUUAAAUAUAUAAAAAGAUGUCCUUAAAUGUUAAUUUUCUUAUAGUGGUAGUGAAUUUACAACAUAUUUUUUUGUAGUGGUAGCGAAUUUACAACAUUUGCAGGUUGUCAUGUAUUUUUUUUUAAUUAGAUUUCUCAUAUUUAGCAAAUCAAAGUAAUUUUACACUCGUGCCAAAAAUUGAUAGUGUAUACUGUGUGGGCUUUUUUNGGUUGUCAUGUAUUUUUUUUUAAUUAGAUUUCUCAUAUUUAGCAAAUCAAAGUAAUUUUACACUCGUGCCAAAAAUUGAUAGUGUAUACUGUGUGUGCCUUGUUUGUACGGGUGUAAUGUGGGCCAUACCGAGCGUGCGCGGCCCAUAUUUUUCGGGCUGAAACGGGCUAGUGGUUGUUGAUACGGCCCGACCCGGUUUCAAUUUCGGGCCGUGCCGGGCCGGGCCCGAGAUGCCUAUCCUCUGGCCCGGCACGGCCCUUUGGCCUAGAAGGCACGGACCGUGCCGGGCCGGGCCUUCGGGCCACCUCUAGGGCGCGGAUGAUCGUUGUCUCCGUCGAGUACCGCCGUGCCCCGGAGCACCCGCUCCCCGCGGCCUACGACGACGCGUGGGCCACGUUGCGCUGUGCCGCGGCGCGCGUCGACCGGUGGCUCGCCGAGCGCGGCAACCUCGCGCGCGUCUUCCUCGGCGGGGACAGCGCCGGGGCGAACAUCGCCCACAACGUCGCCAUGAGGGUCGCCACCGAGGGUUUAGGGGUCAAGAUCGAGGGCUCGAUCCUGAUCCACCCGGUUCUGGGGGGAGAAAGAGAUCGGGGUGGAGGAGGCGGAGAGGAGGAGGGGGAAGAUGAAGGCGUUUUGGGAGGUGGUGAGCCCUGGGACGGAGGUGGCGAAGGAUCCGAGGUUGAAUCCCAUGGCGGAUGGGAAAGAGGAGAGGUUGAGGACGCUCGAGUGCGAGAGGGUGAUGGUGGCGGUGGAGGAGAAGGACGCGUUGAGGGAGAGAGGGAGGGAGUAUUACGAGGGGUUGAAGCGGAGUGGGCUUGAGGGGAGAGUGGAGCUGUUGGAGUCGGAGAGGGAGGAACAUGUUUUCCCUCCUCCCCAGUAGCUUAGGCCCUUGGGCCUUAGGAGUCUGGGCCGUGUUGGCCCGGCUGGCACGGUCCAAACGAGCCAUGCUGUGCCGGGCCGCCUGUCUCCCCUCAGCCCAACAUGGUCUAUGCCCGUUUCGGGCUGUGUCGUGCCGGGCCGUCAAGCCACAGAGGAGAGGCCCAGCACAGCACGGAGGUUCGGACCGGGCCGGCCCGGCACGAGGCCGUGUCGGGCCGGCUGGCCCACGUGCCGCCCGGCCCGUUUUACACCCCUACUUGUAUGAUAGUUGAACAGAAUUCAUAAAUAAGUUGAAUAAAACAGAAUAAAAUACAAGUGUAGAGAAAAGAGUAUAUAUAUUGUGCUCUUAGGAUCAUUGAAAUUUAUAAGACAUAUCGAAUAUAGUACUUUCAUAGGCACAAUAAUCUAAUUUUACACUACCGUAUUUAACCAAGUAUAGUAAAAGGGCAUUAGUAGAAAUAUAUAUAAUUUAUAGAAAUUAGAUUUCUGAUUAUGUUGAAAUAAUAAAAAAUGCUACAUACACGACCCAAACUUGCCCUAGUUUCAACCAAAGGCUAAGCAACGGUCAUUACAAUUUUGACAUGAUCCAUAAUCCAACAUAUUCUUCAUCCAUCUUUCAAAUUAAAUUCAAGACGAAUACCUCAUAUCGCCUUCGGUUAACGCCAUUUUCAUAACAAUAUAAUUCCAAGCAUCAACCGGCCCCGGUAAGCACCAAUGUAAGCAAUCAUUUUGAGUCUUCUUACUCAAAUCUGGAUGAAACCGCCGAUAUGGCCCCGGGUGUCCAUCAGGCCUUAAAAGAGAAAGAUGGUAAAUGUCCAAAAGCCGAAUCCGCGUCCUGUUCCGCAUCCCGACCGCCACCGCCUUCUCGAACUCCUCGAUUUCGACCCCUCGCAUUUUACGGUCCACAUCAUCUCCACUAAACUCGCCCUCUCUGUAAGGUUUAGUCCUAUUACAAACCCCUCCACUGUACCAUUCCCCGAACUCAAAGUGGUCCGGAGUCCAAGUCCUAAAGAGAACAAUUGGCUUGUGAUCCGAGCUAAGGAUGAAGCGAAAAGCCAAUUGUAGGGCUUUUCGGUACAAGAAGUCGCUACCGAUUUCAGGCAAGUUCGGUAAGUUCGUUCUGCGACAGUAAUGGCAACCGAUAGCUGUAUCAUUCUCGAAGAAUACAGCUGUUUUGAAGAACCAAUGGCCACCGGCAAUUACUACGUAGUCGUGGUCGUUGUAUUGGCUCGCCCAUGCACUGUCAAGGACGUCGAGAUGGAUACUGAUGUUAUAGACUUUGUCGCUCGCUUUGAGUAGAAAAGGAGUCCAAAUUGCUGCGAGUGUGAAGUUGUGUGAGGGGAAGUGCCAUCUACUAGUUUUGUAUGUUUCAUCCUGAGUAACUUCUUCGCCCUGGCGACCAAAAUGUACGUAAUUUCACAUGAUUUGGAUACUAGGCCUAACCUAAAGAUUCAAGUCGAAAUAGCAUGUACCUUAGAGAGGAGGCAAAGCAAGGAGGCUAAUUGAUUGGUAAGGAUCGAAUCGCCGAUGAAUACCCACGAUUUAUUUCGCAUCGAAUUUAAGAACUUCUUCGCAUUAGAUAGAGGUAAUUCGCAACCGUAUGGUUUCCACCUCCAGUAAAGAUACUCUCUAUCGGGUCGCCCGUUUGUCAUACAAUCUUGAGAGGCAUAAAUGAAUUUGCAACUUGCUUUCGUGUAAGCUGGUCCCGCAGGGUUUGCAAUCCACCUGCCUUUGAAAAGAUUGCAUUGUUCUGCAUCACAUUUCAGACAAAGUUAAUUUGUUGGAUUAAAAGAAAGAGAGUCGACAUGGUUAUGCGGCGCGAGUGUAAUAUUCAAUGACUAUGCAAAAAAACACAAUAUAUAAUAUAUAAUGAGAAGCGUGUAGAAGUCACAAUAAGCUCUUCUCACUAGAAAGUACAAUUACCAACUAUUCUAGAUAGACGAAUGCUUCAAUACACUAUAAAUAUUAAAAUCUAAUUCUUAAUUAGAAAAAAGUAUAAUUGGAUUUUACAUGAAGUAACUUGUUUAACAGGUUACCGAUUCGAAUUAGUUAAUAUGAUAAUAUUAAAAAAAAAAAUAGUAGUAUAUACCGAAUUUGUCACCAUCCUAUAAAUAUUAAAUAUCUUAUUUACUUUGGUAACUUACCAAAUUAUAUAAUACCCAAUUUGUUAAAUAUCCAGCUCAAAAAAAUAUUAAAUUUAAUUUUUGAAGUUGGUAUUGUAAUAUAAAAUUUUAAAUUUGAAAUUUAUAUUAAACUUUUAAAUUUGAAUCUGAAUUGAACUUUUAAUCUUAAAGACAAAUUUUAAUUUUUUGAUUUAAAUUGAAAUUUUGAAUUGGAAUUGAAAGUUUUAUUUUAAAUUUGUGUUUUACAUUUAAAAAAAUUGAAUUUGAUUUAUAAUUAAGUUUUAAAUGUUGUUUAGGAUUUAAAUUUAUAAUUUGGUUGUAAUUUGAAAUUCAAUUAUUGUUGUAGGCAUUUGAAAAUGUUACAGUAUUCUUAGUUGGAUAAAACUGGUUUUGUAGACCAAAAUAUUUUGCAAAGACCAAAAUACCCUUUAAAUUGGUAUCUAGUGAAUAAUACUUAUGUUUCAAUAGUAGGUCACCUCUAGAUUCAUAUUAAAUCUAACCAUCUAUUAAGAAAAAUAAAUGGUCAAGAUUUAUAUGGUGUAUUGAAGUAUUACUUAGAUAGAUAACGAUCGCUGAUCAGAGAAAAUAAUUAGUUUUCUUAUGUACGAAAUCUUGCUAAUUUCGGUACGACUUAUCCGCGCCAUUACUGGGCCAAUUUUGUUAAAUAUAGUCUUUGCUCUUUUUUUUUUUUUUUGGUAUAAAAAACAUAUUGGGUUGGAGUCGCAGUUGAAAGAAUUUUACACUGCCAGGUUCAAAAGAAGAAAAAGGAAAUAAAGAAAACUGUGAUACUGCAGCACCUCUCGGUAGUUUUCCAGUUGUGGCAUCCACCAACUUCGCAUCCUCCGCCGCGAAAGCAACGACAGGCAAGUGGAGGCCGAGGGCGCAGGCGACAAAGACGGUAGAGCACAAAACCAUGGCGACGGCACAGCCGAGCUCCGCCUUAGCCAUCAUACAUACACAAAAUGAAUACAACACGAGAAAGAAGAAGAAGAACCACACCCCUUAAUACGACCAAAAAGGUGUAUGCAUUAAAAGAGAUCAUACAGUGCAAAGUUGAUGGAAGGUGCACGAUUUGUAUAAAUACAUACUUCUCGGCAUGCAUGCAAUUAUUUUUGGCGCAUUUCUCAAAAACUAAAUUAUUUUCGGGCACAUGCAUCACAUAUCAUCAUGAUGAUGAUACACAUUUAAUUAUGGGGCAAUUACUUAUAUACCUCUGAGAGUUUCUGACAUUCUGAUAUACCCCCCUUAGAAGGUUAAUAUUGAAAAUAUUUUUUUUAUGUUCUAACUAUUUCAAAUAUAUUUCUAGAGUUAAAUUUCGUUAAUGAACCGUUAAUAAUAAUUGUUAUUUGUAUGAAAUUAAUUACUAUGUUACUCUUUUAAAUAUACCUUUCCACCAUCACCAACUCUUUUUAUUUGCUCUUAAGUUAGGGAUACAAAAAGUAUUUUGAUUUUUUGUCUUUUCAAAUAUGCCCCUCUACCAUCACUAAUAUUUCUUAUUUGCCCUUAAAUUAAGAACAAAAGAGACAUUUUGAUUUUUUUUAACUUUAGUAAAUAUUUAACUCACAUUUAACCCAAAUUAACUUAACUGUUGGUGACUGUAGCAGUAUUUUGGAAUAUCGAAAGAACAUAUGAGAGGUAUAUUGGAAAGAAAAAAAAAAGGAAUAAAUGAGAUAUUUCUGAACUUUUGAGGGAUAUAUAGGCAAUUAUCCUCUUAAUUAUUGUUGCUUUGGUUUAUAUAGACUUUGGCAUGUUUGGUUGGUUGGAAAAUAUUCCAGAACAUUUGUUUUAGGGUGUAAAAUUUUUUUCCGUAUGUUUGGCUUGCAAAAAAAAUGGUCAAUUUGUAUAAAAAAUCUACAAGUUUUGAGCUUUUGUAAAACUGGACCAUUUUUUUAAAAUUUUGUAGAUUCGAGUUGAAUUUUUAGAAAACUGGCCAAAAUAUUCUUAUUCCUUUCUCUCUCUUUUUUUUCUCGUUCUUUUUGUCCUUCUACGAAGAGAGAGGUGGAGGCAGAGAUGGAGGCGACCCGUCUCUCCUCUGCCCCCUACGCCAUCGCCUGCGUUCGUGCACCACCAGCCCUCCUCGCAACCUUGGUGGGGUCGGAGGUGAGAAGGACAGGUAGUGCGCGGACGCGUGCGAGGGUGCUGGAGGCAGAGGGGAGGCGGGCUGCCUCCGCCCCCGCCUCCGUCUCUCUCUUCUUAGAGGGAAAAGAAAAGAACGAGAGAAAAAAAAAAAUGAGAGAGAGAAAGGAAUAAGGGUAUUUUGGUCAGUUUUCUAAAAAAUCAGUCCGAAUCUACAAAAUCGAAAAAGACGGUCCAAUUUUGUAAAUGCUCAAAACUUAUACAUUUUUUAUGCAAAUUGGCCAAAAACAUAGAUAUUUUGAAUUUUUUUAUAUUUCACAAAAAAAUUUUCUUUUCGUUUUCUAAUUUUUUUUUUCAAGAAACAAAAAUUUUUAUUGCGAAUAUUUUGAGAAUAAAAAAAAAAAAUUCUUUUUCUUUACCACCCAACAAUCAUCUUAACCAUCUUCCAUCUUCAUCUCUAUCGUCCUAUAUAUAGAGAGAGAGUAGAGCUACUAUAUUAUCGGAAGUAUAAAGAAUCUGCUACUUCCGACUAAUACUCCUUUGGUCAUUUCUAACCUUUGGAUUAAUACUAUUACCCUGUGGGGACUACUCAACUCUAGGAGUACUACUCAACCCUAGAGGGACCGCAACCAUCCCAACUAUACAAUUCUUGAUCAAAAGGUCAAAAAGUCGGAAGCAUUAACGCCUCUAUACAUUUGAUAGUAUUGUAGCUCUACUCUCUCUCUCUCUCUCUCUCUCUCUAUAUAUAUAUAUAUAUAUAUAUAUAUAUAUAUAUAUAUAUAUAAAGCAUAAUUAUUUUCAUCUUCUAUCUGUCAGGUCAAUCAUUUCUAUCUCCCUUAUAAAACUAUUUUAUCUAUACCAAAAUAUACUUAAAAUUAUUUUUAUUUAUUAUUUAUUAUUUAUUAUUACGUUAAAUUUAAAAGGUCGGUAAUCUCACCCUUUUUAUAAAAAUUUUUUAUACACCAAAAUUAUCUACUAAUCAAACAAGUGAAAUAAAAAUAAAUUUUUUUAAAAAAUUUUUAUCUUUUCACCAUCCGACGACGAUGCAUGGAAAACUUAUUAUUUUUCCGUCCAAUCAAACAAUAGAAACCAAAAAAGAAAUUCAAAAUUUUUUUUCUCCGAAAAUAAUUUUCUACUAUUUUUCAAAAAACCAAACAGACCCUUAUGCAUCAACAGAAAAAGUUGUACCUUCAAAAAUUAGUUAUUAAUUAUUUAGUAACUAGAUUUUGUUGAGUACAAUUACACAUAUAGCUGGACAGCUGAAAUUUGGUUUGCAUUUAAUUUUAGCGAUUGUUCUACAUUUGGGCUCACUUGAGACAACAUAAAUAAAAUUAUAUUAUAACUUUUCAUAGAGAAAGUAUCCUGAACCCAUGGUACGUAUAGUGCGGAGAGAUUUUGUUCCGAGAAAUAAUUAUUAGCUAUUUAUUAUUAACUAACAUAGGUCCAACUGUAUGUACCAUGAUAAUAAAAGUUCAGGAAAUUAGUAGUUGAGUUUGAUGAGCCAAUAAGUUGAGUGCGAUUAUAGUCUAUAAUAUCUAACAGUAAGAGAUUCAACAAUAUACCUAAGUUCAGAUUGGUUGAGUGAAGUCCAAGUCCGUAAAUGCUAUGAUUGAGCGCUUAAAUGUAAUGAAUAUAUUUUUACUAUCAGUACGUGCUUUUGAAAUAGUUGAUUAGUACUAACGAUUCGCUAGUAAUGUCAGAAACAGUGGUGCAGAUGAAAUUCCUAAAAGCUGCAAUAAACAGUGCAGGUAAGCGGGUUCGAUUUUUAUAAGCUGUAUUAAAUGUUGCAGCUGAGCUCCAUUAAAAGGUGUAGAUGUUGGGGUUGCUUUUGGAACAGUUAAUUAGCACUUACAUCUACAAUAAUUGCAAAAUAAUAGGGAUAAAAAUUUUAUGGGCAUCAUGCCCAAACAAUUUGUCUAGGCACGGUGCCCGGAUGGGCGCCGCGUGUGUAGCGGCGCCCAUCCGCACCCUCAAAGAAAAAAAGAAAAAUGGUGACCUCAAAGAGAGANAAGGGAGGGUGCGGAUUGGCCCCACUGCACACGCGGCGCCCAUCCGGGCACCGUGCCCAAACAAAUUGUUUGGGCACGGUGCUCAUAAAAUUUUGGGAAAACUUCAAAAACCCCUCAUGUGGUUUCACACUUUCUCAUUUUAGUAUCUUGUGAUUUAAAGUGUAUCAAGUUAGUACCUUAUUGUUUCUCACUUUAUCACUUUAGUACCAUGUGGUUUAAAGUGUAUCAAGUUAAUAUCCUGUGGUUUUACACUUUAUCACUUUAGUACCCUAUGGUUUAAAAAACCACAGGGUACUAACUUGAUACAAAAUUAAAACUACAUGGUAUUAAAGUGAUAAAGUGCAAAACCACAUGAUACUAAUUAACUUAAUAAACUUUAAACCACAUGGUACUAAAGUGAUAAAGUGAGAAACCACAGAGUACUAACUUGAUACAACCACGGAGUACUAAAGUGAAAAAAAAUUGAAACCACAAUAGAGGUUUUUGAAGUUUUCCCUAAUAUUUUUGUCCAAAUAAUAGAAUGUGGUCCACAAUAAUUAAUUAGCGCUUGCAAUUAAUAUACAAUAAUUAGAAAAUAAUAGAAUGUAGUGGAAGUUAUCGUGUGGUCCUCACUCUUAUCUUUUGCUUAAUUAUUGCUUUUAUAUUUCAAUGAUCGAUUGUCACUAAUUUCUCGAAUUACAUCCAAUAGGGUGCUGAGAAUGAAUAAGAUUCUUUGAUCGAGAUUGAACUCGCAUCUUUACUCAAUCCUCGGAUCCGAAUAAACAAUUGCAAAAUCCAUUCAAAAACAUAAAUAAUUGCAAAACAGUAAGGUUGAUAUCUAUCGACCGCCGCCGCUGUUUCUAGAGCGCAAAAAAGGAAAAGGAGAGUGAAAGGGCGUCGUUGCUGCUGAUAGCGAGCCAACGCCGUUGCAUGAAGCCGAAGCUGCGGCUAUCCCGGAAGUGAAGGCAAAAAAGAAUUGAAGUGAAGCAUCAUUUUCUUUAUCCCUUGAGCACAUACAAGUGCACCCCAAACUAUAUUUUUAAUAAAUUUUGUGAUGAAUUCCCGUUGAAUUUCAUGCAGCAUUUGGUGGGAUGCAAAAUCAACCCAAUGCAAGCAAGACAUGUGAUCCCUUUGUUACUAGUAGCACUAAAUAUAUAUAUAUAUUAUUUAAAACUAGAUAAAUUUCAUCUUUGAGAGGUCAGCACUCAGCAGGAGCACAAGCACCUCAUAAUUUGGGUUCAUAUGCCUAUAAGUAUAUUUUUUAUUUUUUAUUUUUUAUUUUUUUUAUUUUUACUUUGAUUAACCCUUCACGAAUUGCAUUAUAUAAAAGUGGGCCCAAAUAAAAAAUUUCUUAUCAAACUAGUAUAUUAAAACUACGAUUUUAUGCAAUUAUGAUUAGUCCUGUUAUGAUUCUUACCGGUAAUCUUAUAUCUUAUUCUGUCCCAAGGUGAUACAGGUGAUGAUUGUCUACCCUUUUUUUUUAAAAUUUGUUUUAAAGACGAUAGUAUCCGGUAUAAUGCAUCUAAAUAAAUAGAAAAUUGUAUGCCCGCUCUGUCUUAUACUUAAAUUUGCUUCUAGUUCGAGUUUUACAAAUAUUCAGUAAAUUUUCUAUUUGAUUACUUUACUUGGUGCUUUCUACCUAACUAAUUAGAAGAGGGAUAUUCUAAUCACAACCAGCUUAAUCAGAGGUGGCCUGAAUGUAAUGAGAGGGCGUAAUUAACCGGCGGAUACCUGGGAAGCAUGAACCCCUUAUUCUCUGGUUCUUUUUAAGUCUAUUUAGACUGAUAAAUAAUUGCAUUUUGUUUUAUCUUAUUUAUUUAAAUUUUUUCGUUUUUUUCGUUGUUCAUUUUUCAGGAAAACAAGCUGGACUAAGUAUGAGUGUGGGAGAAUUUUUGAAAUAGAAUACACUUUACGUUUGGCACAAAAAUUUAUAAAACAAAUCAAAUACCGUAAUGUUGCAUGCUCAGCAAUCCGGCAUUAUAUAAUGCACUGAAUUAAAAGAAGUAAUACAGAAUUCAUAGUAAACUGAUUCAUAGAAAUCAGUUUUUUGAGUAUGUUGAAUAAUUAGAAAUUCAACAUACAUGAACCAAACGCAGCCUAAGUUUCCAACCAAGGCUACGCAAAAGGCAUUACAUUUUGACAUGACCCACACAUCUUAAUUUGAUACUAUAUAUAUAUAUAUAUAUAUAUUCUUGAUCCAUCUUUCAAAUCAAAUUCAAGAUGAAUACAUUAAAUCCCCUUCAUUUAACACCAUUUCCAUAACAAUAUCAUUCCAAGCUUCAAGGGUCCCCGGCAAGCACCAAUGCAAGCAAUCAUUGUAAGUCCUCGUUCUCAGAUCAGGAUGAAACCGAUAAUACGGCCCUGGGUGCCCGUCAGGCCUUAAAAGAGAAAGAUGGUAAGUGUCCAAAAGCCGAAUCCGCGUCCCGUUCUGCGUCCCGACUGCCACCGCCUUCUCGAACUCCUCGAUUUCAACCCCUCGCAUUAGAUGGUCCCAAUCAUCUCCACUAAAUUCACCCUCUUUGUAAGGUUUAGUCCUAUUGCAAACCCCUCCACUCGACCGUCUCCCGAAUUCGAAGUGGUCCGGAGUCCAAGUUCUAAAGAGAACAAGUGGCUUGUGAUCCGAGCUAAGGAUGAAGCGAAAAGCCAAUUGCAGGGCUUUUCGGUACAAGAAGUCGCUACCGAGUUCAGGCAAGUUCGGUAAGUUCGCUCUGGAGCAGUGAUGACAACCAAUAAUAGUAUCAUUCUCGAAGAAUACAGCUGUUUUGAAGAACCAAUGGCCGCUGGAAAUUACUACGUAGUCGUAGUCGUUGUAUUGGCUCGUCCACCGGCUCGCCAGGAUGUCAAGAUGGACUGUGAUGUUGUAGGCUUCGUCGCUAGCUUUGAGUAGAAAAGGAGUCCAAACUGCUCCUAGGGUGAAGUUGUGUGACGGGAAGUGCCAUAUACUAGAUUUGAAUGUUUCGUCGCGAACAACUUCUGCGGCCUGACGAUGAAAUUAAAUGUAACUUGCAUAUAUAAUUCGGGUACUAGCUUUCACCGAAAGAUUCGAGUAGAAAUGGAAUAAUGUACCUUAGAGAGAAGGCAAAGCAAUGAGAGUAAUUGGUUGCGAAUGAUUGAAUCGCCGAUGAAUACCCAUGAUUUAUUUUGCAUCGAAUUUAAGAACUUCUUUGCAUUGAAUAGAGGUAAUUCGCAACCAUAUGGUUUCCACUUCCAGUAAAGGUACUUUGUAUCAGGUCGGCCAUUUGUUAUACAAUCUCGAGCGGGUUCGAUGAAUUCGCAACUUUCAUUCGUGUAAGCCGGUCCUACAGGGUUUACAAUCCACUCGCCCUUGAAGAGAUCACAUUGUUCUGCACCAUAUUUCAUACAAAAUUAAUUUGUUGGAUUAAAAAAGGCAUGUUUAAGAGAUGUACAUGUUAAUAUCGAAAGAUUACGUACAUACGAUAAAAUGCAAAAAACACAAUAUGAUAAUAUGCAAAAAACACAAUAUGAUAAUAUUAUAAUGAGUGGUGUAAAUGUGCAGAGACACUCAAUAAGCUUGUUUCACGAGAAAUCAUUGCCAACUAAACUAUGAUUGCUGCUUGAGAUCAAAUAAGUAGUUUUUAUGUCCUAGAUGUUAAUUAAUUAUUUCGUCGAAUCUGCCGUAUUUUGCAAAUAUCUUCCACUAUACUGUUUUUUCGUUUUUGCUUCCGUCUUCCUUGAGGCCUUGUUGCCUCACUCAUGUUGCUUAUUUCAUCUACUAUUGAAUGAAGCGGGUAGCAUGCUACCUUUUUCUCAAAAAAAAAAAAAAAUUAUUUCGUCGAAUCAUUAAUUUCAACAAAUUUUUUCCCUUUUUCUUAAUUUUAAUGUAAUUGUUCAAAUUUUGCAAACCUACAACUCCACCGGUUGAACCAGAAGUACGACCUAAUGUUCCAACACUUACCUGGGCCAAUAUUUUGACAACUAUAGCCGAAUUCAAGUACUAGAAAUAUGUUGGGUUGGAGCCAGAUGCAGUUGGAAGAUAUUUACGAUCGAUGCGGGGGUCAGAAUAAAAAAAAAAAAAAAAGUAAAAGAUGAUCAUAAACUAUGUAUGGCACCACCGUGUAGUUUCCCCGCCAUGGCAUUCGCCAACUCGGCAUCGUCCGCCACGAAAGCGACGACGAGCAAGUGGAGGUGGAGGGAGAAAACGAAGACAACGAAGAUGACCGAGCCCAAAACCAUGGAGACGUGGGGACCGAGCUCCGCCUUAGUCAUCAUACAUACACAAAGAGCGUGUUUAGUUGAAAGAUAAAGGGGUAAGGGGUUAUCCCUCUCUUAUAUUCAAACACACACACAAAUUAAAGGUGAGAUAACUAUCCCACCCUUAUUUAAUUUUUUAAAAAUUUAAAUUUAUUUAGUUUUUAAAUUUUAAAUUUUAAAAAUUUAUAUUUUGUAAUCUUAAAAUUAAAAUUUUAUAAUUUUAAAUUGAUAUUUUAAAUUUUUUUAAAUUUAAAAUUUGAUAUUUUAUAUAUUUAAAUUUAGAUUUAAUCUUAAAUUUAAAAUUUAAAAUUUAAAAUUUAGAACUUUGAAUUUGAGAUUUAAAACUUUUAAUUUUAAUUUUAAUUUUAAUUUUAAAUUUUUUAAAUUUAAAAUUUAUAUAUUUCAAUUUAAAAUUUUAAAUAUAAAAUUUAAAAAUUUAAAUUCAAAUAUAAUAUAAGGAAAAUAUUAUUAUUUUCUAUUUAUAACUACUCAUUAUUUAUUUUAUUCCAUUUAAUNAACUAUCCCACCCUUAUUUAAUUUUUUAAAAAUUUAAAUUUAUUUAGUUUUUAAAUUUUAAAUUUUAAAAAUUUAUAUUUUGUAAUCUUAAAAUUCAAAUAUAAUAUAAGGAAAAUAUUAUUAUUUUCUAUUUAUAACUACUCAUUAUUUAUUUUAUUCCAUUUAAUUUAUCCAAACGUUAUUUUUCUUAAUCCCGAAAACAACUCAAUUCUCAUCCAAACACAAAAUUCGUUUAGUUCUUAUUUAUACCUAUCUCUGAAAUAAACAUGUCUUACUUAUAUUCGAACCAAACAAAGUUAAAAAAAAUCUGCCAGGAAUAAGGGGAAGAAGCACGCUACUACUCAAGAAGACCAAAAAGUGUAUGAAGAGAUCAUAUACAAGGCAAAGUUGAUGGAAGAUGCAUUUUAAAAUUACUUAUUAAUUAUUUAGUAACUAGCUUUUGUUGAAUAUUAUUAGAUAUAUAUAUAUAUAUAUAUAUAUAUAAUAUAGUAUGUAGUUAUAUAGCCGCGGAUAUUUGACACUUGAUUUAACGGUUUCUACAUUUAGCCUCCUUGGAGAAAAUAAUUAAGUGCUAAAUAAAAUUAAUUACAACUUUUUCUGUGGAGAAAGACUUUUGAACACAUGCUACGUGUGAAAGUUUUAAUUUAGCGAAGGAAUAAUGAAAAUAAAUAAAAUAGAAACGUGUGCAGGAUCAGAGUGUGUCCUACUCUCAUGCUUUGCUUAAAUUAGCUUUUAUUUCAAUGAUUGUCACUAGAUAGUUUCCUGAUGACGUGAGUAAAGUAAUUACAAAUCCAUUCAAGAUAUAAAUAAUUGCCAAAAUAGUAUGUACCGGAUUUAAAGUUUAUGUACUAAAGAAAUACUUCACAAGUUUUUUUUUUUUUUUUACUUUUAUUUUAAUUUUAUUUUUAUUUUAUUUUAUUUUUAUUUGGUCUUUGUCCGGCUUGCUUCAUCUUCAGAGGCUUUAUGUGCCUCACCAUUAUCAGCUACAUCAUAUUUAAAAUAAAAAAGCAGAUAGCGUGCUAUUUCUUUCAAAAAAAAAAAAAAAGUUUCUUAAGAGUCGCUGAAGUGUGAAAAAUGUUUGGUGGCACUUACGUAUGUUGGCAUUAGGUACCUGCCACGUGUUCACUCACUGGUGGAUAUAAUGCAUGAGAGGUACCUAAAAUAUCAAGGCAAUUAACCACAGUUACACAACUAAUUUCAAUUCGAACUAAAGGUUGCACUUUUGCUUGUGUAUUACUCCAGUGUAGAGCUUAUAGAAAUCCUACAGAAAUUUUUUAUAAAUGUAUUGUGUAUUGAUUUAUCUUGAUGUAAGUUUACGAUUACUAAGGCUACAAAAUAACCUCAAAAGUAUUAUUGGAAGAAAAGCGGGUAAUGUAUUGCUAGUGUGUUUAUUCCUAUACACAUGAAAAAUAUAAAACCAGCUGAGAGUCUAGUCAGCCUGCGAGAUCACGGGCGCACCGCCAAUCUUGACGCAAAAUUAGCCAUCUUGGCAGAGAUCAGAUUCACAUUUCCUUCUUUUUUUUUUUCUUUUUUUAUAUUGUGGUUCCCUUCCCUCUCCUUUUUUCUCUUUUUCUUUCUUAGUGUGACCUCGAUUGAUAUCUCACGUUUUUCACUUAAUUUUCUUCACACGACUGAAGUAUGUUAAGGGCUCUACUUAGGCUUAGUUUGGUAUUGAGGCCUAUCAAACGCUAUUAGAUAAAAUAGAGUUGAGAAAAAAGCAUAUAGGAAUAUGCUUCUACGUUCUCUAGUGAGACCGUGGAAAAUAUAUCGUAAUCGACUCAUCGUGAUACGUGGAACGCAAUAUUACGUACGGAAACAAACAUGUAUUUUUCCAACGUAUUUUCUCACCGCACGUAACGCAAUCUUCCUUCCUGCAAUCCUAAACGAAGCCUUAAUCUUUUGCUUAAAAAGAAAAAGAAAAGGAAAAUAAGAUAUUUGCCUAAAAUAUGUCUGUUGGG
rnacentral:lncRNA from 1 species